rnacentral:lncRNA from 1 species
ACUGGUCUCAAGGGUUUUGGGAUUGAGGGUUAUGUGGGAAUACAUUUUCCACAUUGGAUGAGAAAUGCAUCUAUUUUGGAAGGCUUGGUCGAUAUUACAUUCUACAACUGUAACAACUGUCAGCGGCUUCCUCCACUUGGUAAAUUACCUUGUUUAACCACUCUUUAUGUAUUUGGAAUGAGAGAUUUAAAGUACAUUGAUGAUGACAUAUAUGAAUCUACAUCUGAGAAGGCUUUCAUUUCAUUGAAGAAUUUAACUCUGCUUGGUUUACCAAACUUAGAGAGGAUGUUGAAAGCUGAAGGCGUAGAGAUGCUACCACAACUUUCCUACUUUAACAUUUCAAAUGUUCCCAAGUUGGCAUUGACAUCCCUUCCAUCUAUUGAACUCCUUGAUGUUGGUCAAAAAAACCAUCGCUACCAUUCCAAUAAAGGUGUGGAUUUAUUCCCAGAGAGAAUUGUGUGUAGUAUGCAUAAUCUUAAAUUUCUUAUCAUCGUAAACUUCCAUGAACUCAAGGUAUUACCUGAUGAUCUUCACUUUCUUAGUGUCCUUAAGGAGCUUCACAUUUCAAGGUGUUAUGAACUUAAGUCUUUUUCGAUGCAUGCGUUACAAGGUUUGAUUUCUCUUCGAGUUUUGACCAUUCAUAAAUGUCAUGAAUUAAGAUCCUUGUCAGAAGGUAUGGGAGACUUGGCUAGUCUUGAGAGACUUGUAAUCGAAGAUUGUCCACAACUUGUUUUACCAAGUAAUAUGAACAAACUAACUUCCCUUCGUCAAGCGGCAAUUUCGUGCUGCAGUGGAAACAGCCGGAUAUUACAGGGCUUAGAAGUUAUCCCCUCCCUACAAAAUUUGACUCUAUCAUACUUUAAUCACUUGCCGGAAUCAUUGGGAGCCAUGACUUCUCUUCAAAGAGUAGAAAUCAUUUCGUGUACAAAUGUAAAGUCGCUACCAAAUAGCUUUCAAAACCUCAUAAACUUGCAUACAUUGUCUAUUGUUGAAUGUCCUAAGUUGGAGAAACGAUGCAAGAAAGGAACUGGGGAAGAUUGGCAAAAGAUAGCUCACGUUCCUGAAUUGGAGUUAAUUACAAUAUACACAUACUAUAGUAAUAUACUGAAUCCCUUGCUUAUUUCAUCUUGUUCUUUAUGUAGCACCAACACUUUUGUUUUAAGGCUUUUCCGGUGUCUCACACUUACACGACACCGACAAAUGUAGUUACAUUAAAUCACUUGACUUCUAUUUUCUCAAAUUAUUAUUUGUGUCUACGUUUCUGUGUCCGUUUCGUGUUCGAUAUCCAUGUGUCACUCAGUAUUUCUCCCAAAUGUAUGAUUAUUUCUGACAUAUUGGAACUCUUAAUGCAGCGCGUGAUUUUCGAAAUUCGAUGUUGGAAGAUACUUUGUUGCGCGGUCGUUAUCAGGCUAUCGAAAUGUAUUCGAGGGAUGAGUUUCGAUGUAUAGUUGAUGCAUUGUGAAUGAACUUAAUGUUGAGGUGGACAUUAAGAUCAACACACUUGGGUGAAGUGGACAUUCAAAUUUCCAAUUUCAUUAUCAUCAAUUACUGUUCCUACUCACAAGCACUGUGGUCUUCAGUUGAUUUUAAGAAUCAUUGUUGACAUGUUACCUUUCAUCAAGGUAGUUUUGAUUUGUACUGCGAUUCGAUGCUAGUGAAAUACAAGUAAUUCGUUUUUUCAUCAAUGAUCUUUAAACUAUUUUUUUGUUUAACUUGGUAUUCGGCUUAAGGGCCGACUAUAAAGGGUCCAAUCGCGUUGUCCACAUGCAAGACCUCAUUUAAAGUAUAAAUUUGUAUGGACUUAGUCUACCGAAUUGACACCUGAGAAUAAAUAUUAUCCGUCAUUGUUUGAGAAUAAGAUUGUAAAUUACAAUCAAAUCUAAUCAAGUAUUAGGGUCCCAUAUAAAUCCAAAUACAAUUUAUUGAAUUUCAGGAAGAAAACUAAAGGAAUAUAUGAGAUGGAAAAAAAGGAAAAUAGAGGUACUAGGACAUGUUAGUUGUGUAGAUUAAGAAAUUGUUGAGUUCACCACCUUGAAUAUUAAAUGACGAUCUAUUAUGGUGAACAUAUUGCUUCCAUCGGUUGUAAUAUUUUCAAAGCCUAGUGGAUUGUUCAUGUACACUUCUUGUUAUAAGACAGGGGUUGAAUGCAGUGAGAAGAUUAGGACUACAGUGCUCAGUCACAUUUGGUCUGUUCGAUCAAAGAUCCUACUGUCCAGAUUUGAAAUUUGGAUUUUAUAUUUAUAAACAAUUAAAAUACUAUAUUAAAAUAUGGAUUGUCCGAUGUAGUGGUCGAUAGUUAGAAUGCGUUAAAUUCAAGACAUCGUGUAAGAUUGUACCGAAGCGUAAAAAUAAUUACAAAAAUAGGUGUGAAAUUCCACCAAAGUGUUACUAGGUAGAGGUUUUUCUUAAAAAAAAUAUGUGAAAAAGUGUUGGAUAGGUGGGUCCCAUCAAUUUUGUUUUUGUAUUUCGAUAUACCAUUAAAAUUGUCCAAUUUUCUCGCAAUAAUUUUCUUUUUUUAAAAACGUUAAAAUGGAAUAUAUUACUGCUAAAUACAUUAUACCCGACACAAGGAGGUGUAUCAUGGUACAAUCAGGAAAAGUUACAAAGUCCUUACAAAAGCACUAAAAAUAAUUAAGAAAAGCAAAUGUGGAAAAAAAACAUAGAUUAACCAAAGCUUAAACACAUAAAAGGAUCAUGCCACCAAUUAUGAUGGGAGAAAGCUAAAGAUGUCUUUUUCGCCUUCAGCCAAGCUUAACAUUCAAUCAAUUGAAAUAUCAAGCAAGCGUUAAAAAUCAUGUUAUUCCAUUCUUUUCAUAUAACCCACAAGCAUGCAAGCCAAAUGAUCAUCAAAAUAGAAUGAUGAGGUCAUCCGCGAGAUAUUCAAACUGUAAUAAUUGAUCUUCGUGUUUGGAGAGAUCAAAUUGAAACCAAACCAAUUUGUCACCAGAUACCAAAGUGAGCUAAAAUAAUUGGGCUAAAAUAUGAUUUUGGUCCCUGCAAAUAUAGUGAGUUUGGGUUUUGGUCCCUGGUAAAAAAAAAUUGAAUUCCAUCAUUCUAAAAAAAAUUUGUUUUUUAAAAUAGUUCCUGACCCACUUUCUUGUUGAUUUGGCUGAUUUUUGCUUAAGUGACUGAUGUUGACGGUACAAUCUUAUACAUGUGGUGCACACGUGUCAUUUAACUUAUUUUAAACAUUCUAUCUAUAAAUCAAUUUAAUUAAAAUAAAAUUUGUUUGUCAUAAUUAAAAGAAAAAUAAAAAAGGGGAGGGUUUCCGGUUUCCCCAUUCUUCUUCAUCAAUCUUCACUACUCCAUCACUCUUCAUUUUCUUCAUCCAUGUAUCAUCAACACAACCCCACCUUUAGCCUUUAUUCUUCAAUCCAAACCCAAUUUUUGCUUCUUCUCUUUAUUCUUCUUUGCUCUCACCUUUACUCUUCAAUCCAAAUCCAAUCCAUGUAUCCCUUAUUCUUCUUCGCUUCUCACCUUCGUAGUCACUUCAAUGAAUAGCAAUGAUUGUUCUUCCCGUGAGUUCGUUCUCUGCUACAUGAUUUCUCUGUUCCACCUUUUAAAUUGUUGUCGUAGUAAAGUGUACUAGGAAAAAAGAAAGGAGUAUAUGUGUAACCAUUUUUCUAACCCCGUUCAUAGGCCGGUUCCUAUUUAUAAGCAAGAAUUAGACACAUAUAUGGUAACGUUACAAUCAAAACCAUAAUUCCAAAUAAUAAGGACUGACCAAACAGUAAGUUACUUGCAACGUGAAUUGUAACGUUAACUAGAAACAUAACCUGCUGUAUACUAGGUCAAAGAGAAACUAUUAGUUAUAAUAAAAUUAAUAAUAAAUAUAAUAACACAUUUUAAAAUAAAUUCCUUUCAAAAAAAAAUUAAUAAAUUAAAAUAUUAGUUAUAAUAAAUAUAAUAACACAUUUUAAAAUAAAUUCCUUUCAAAAAAAAAAUUAAUAAAUUAAAAUUUUCUACACUCCCCCACAAUUAUUUAUUUUAAAGUUUUAAGUGAUUUAGGUGUUCCAAGAGCGUGGAAAAUCAAUGCAUAAGCACUAGUGUCUUUCGGACUACGAACUAUAGCACAUAGAGCAAAUGAAAUUUGACCCACUAGAAUGUCAGUGGAAUUAUAACCUCUAUGAACCUCAUUCAGUAUAUCAGUGAUCUCAUCACUCACAGUGAUCUCUCGUCCAAAGUUGUUCAACACGAUGCGGUGCAUUUUGGCCUUGCACCUAUGCCUGGAUUUCAUGAGUAGCUCUAGAAAGUUUGCCCAAGCUUUCAUAGAGGCGGCCCCACCUCCAACACUCAUAUAGGUAAAUCUAUCAAGUGUACACCACAAUCAAGCACACCACUCAACAUAUGAGUUAUAUAUAUUUAUUAACAAUUUAUAACCUCAACCUUCAACGUUGUAGUAUACACUAUCCUACACCAUAGGGAUGAACUCUCAAAAUUAAAAUGGAUAGUGUCUAAUCAAAUUGACAAGUGACUUGUUCUUACCCAUAUGAACAUAGCUUUGCGAAUUUUCACAAUCUAUGUUGGGUUACCAUCACUCUCAAUUUUUGUAUUGGACAUAAUUCAUCCCCCUUGAUGUAUAUAUAUAUAUUACUCAUUAUAUUGAUGCAUCACAAAUAAUACAUUGAGUAAGACGUCUCUCAGUGACUAUCUCAUAUAUAUUAUCAAAUCAUCAUCUAUGAUAUAUUAUCAUAAAUUUGCUUAAAUAAAUUUUAAGCAACAACACCCCCACAUAGGAGAAAAUUAAAUCUACAUUUAGAUUUAUUAUACAGGUCUACUUGAAACUACUUUCAAGCGACGACGUCCCCACAUUGAGAGAAUAUGAAUUCAUAUGUGAAUUUCAUUCAAGUCCGCUUGAUUUAUUUUUCAAGUAACGACACCUCCACAUUAGGGAAAAUAAAUCCACACAAAUAUAAAUUUUUCACAUCAUUAUAUUAUUUAAUAUAAUGGAUAACCACACUAUGUCACCGAUAUUUUAAGGUGAAUCUCAAUGUAUAUAUCUCAUGAGUUACGAGUGCCACAAAAUAUAUUCAGGUCUGUUUAAAUUAAUUUUAAGCGACAACAUAACAUCUUUAUUUCACUCGUUUCAUUCAUUGCAUAUCUAUAUGUAUCUUCGUAAGUUUCUCAAAUUUGCUGCCCAAUAAUUAUUCACAAUAAUAUAAAAUUAUCUCAAAACUGAACCACAAUAUUAUAAAGGCAAUACACUUAGUUAAUAGUCAUUUGGCAGGAGAAAAUCAUUUUAAUACUCUUAUAAUAAAGACUCUUUCAAGAACAUUUGAUAGGUUAAGAUUUAAGCUUUGAAACAUCUCGACUCAUUAUUAUUGCUUGAUUAUAUUGAUGCACCUUUACUUACAUACAAAUUUUCUUCACAAAAUACUUUUUUUUUAGAACUAGAGAUACAAAAAUAAUGCAUAACCUUUGAUUGUUUUAGUGUUACUUGCAGUAUUAGCUCAGUUAUGAAUUAUCAGAACUGGUUUCUAUUAAUAAGAUCCUUUGACAACUGAUAAUUGUUAAAUGUUUGUACUUCAAUUACCAUUGAAUGUACUGUUUGACACACUGACAUAUUGGUUGGCUUUUUGCAAUGUUAGAAUGAACAAAAAUAUGAAAGUUUAUGUGAUGACACCAAAAUUCAUGAUAUAGAAAAUUGAUGAGGAAGAUUACAAACUUUCAUAUAUGUUAUGGACUAAAUUGACAUAUUUCAUAUGCUUUUUGAACUAAAUCGGAUAGUUUAGGGACUAAAUUGAUGAUUUAUUCUUCAUCUCAUCCUUUGAGCUAAUUUUGGACAUAUAUAUUAAACAAUUUGUUUGUGAUUUAUUAAUAGGUUUUGGGAAACAACAUAAAGAAGGAGUUGUCAAGAAUCCAGGCAGAACUUAGCAGCACAAACCCAAAUCUUAAAUUUUCGUGAGUAUUUUCUCAUUAAAGUUCAUUUGGAAAAUUGAUACUUAAUGUUUUGCUUUGAAAUGUAACAUUUUCUGUGUUCAAACACGAAUGAUCAGAUGGAAGCAAUUUCUACAAGAAUUCCGGUGGAUAAGGCUGAUUUCAAAAACUACUUCCCCAAGUGAGUCAACUUACUAAUAUAAUGUGGUUUCAGCUAUGGAUUACUUAACAAUUGAUUUAUGUGCUAAAUUUUACGGUGUUGAUUCUUAUCUUGUGUGACAAGCAUGGUGAUGUUGUGCUGCAUGUGGUGAAAAAGGAAUUCAAAAACCAUGUUGAAGAAACGGAAAACAAGCGCAACAUUUCAAGAGAAAAACAUUUGUCCGGCAACUCAAAGCGGUGAACAACAUUUGAUGAUGAUGAAAACGUUCAUCCAAAUCUUUUUGGUCAUCAGGAUAAUUCAGUUCGCAGUAGUAAACAUUAAUCCAUUUUCACAUGGUUAUGCUGAGAGUACAUGGAACUGAUUAACCUGAGGUCUAUAUCAGCUUCUUCCUCUAAGAAACUAAUUAAGCUGAGGUCUCUACCAUCUUCUUUUCUCUAAGUAACUUGCGUGAAUUUGUUUCCUGCUCUACAGGUACCAACGAUGCACCCAAUCUCAUAUUAACAGUAAGCCUCAACACAUUACAAUAAGCUCAUAUCUUUGAUGAAUUGAUUAAGGGAUCAACAAUAUCAUGUCUCGUUCCUUUUCGGACAACAUGCAAUAUCUGCCUAAAACCAUAACACCCUCUUUAAUUAUUUGAUUAUUUUAAUGAGUUUAGAAUAUACUUAUAUGAUUUGUAUGAUUUAUAUGAUUUAUUUUGAUGAGUGGUAUUUUGUUAUGUUAUAUGUUGAUAUUUAUUAGUAUAAUAUAUGUUAUCGCGAUUUUCGGGUGUCAAGUCAUUAAUUAGGCUUGAACCUUUCAAUCUUUGAUAUUCUCUAUUUUUUCUUGGGAAGGGCAAAAUUGAGAAAAAAAAACCCUUAGAUUCUAAGUUCGGGGGUCGUUUUCGCUACGGGAAGGUGUUAGGCACCCGGAACGAUUAUGGUAUUCCAUAAGAACCGUUCUCCUAGGUUUAUUUCUACGCUUUAUUUUUAUUGCCUACUUAUUAAAAAGGUUUUAUUUGAGUGAAGAAUGGGGAAAGAAGAUGAUUGAGAUUUUAUUUUACUUGGCUUGGAGGAGUUUUAACUCAUUGCCUACGUACCCUUUUAAGGGAUCAAAACCAAACGUAGUUCGCUCUCAAAAAAUGUUUUUUGUGUGUUUGGUUGAUUUUAAUUUUUGUUGAAAAAUGGUUUUGAAGAAAAGAAAGAGGCCUUAAAGGCAUAAGAGAAGAAAAUGGUGAAUGGUUGGUUCAAUUGUUAUUAAAAAAGUCUAAGUAGGGAUUAGGAUUCAUUUGGAUUUGUUUAAGAAAAUAAAGAAAAAAAAUUCAAAGGAGUUUUGACUCCAAGGUUUGUUUGGAAAAAUUUGAGUGAUGGAAUUGGUUUAUUAUUUUUUGAAAAUUGACAUUUGUCUAAAAAAUCGCGUUUCCUAAGCAUACAUCUAAACGGUAAUCAUGCAACGUGUGUGCGUGUCGGUGCUUGUGUCGGUGUACAUCCCUUAUAGUGUCCAUAGUCCUUUACAUUGAGUCCUAAAUACAUGCUAUGGUCUUGCAAGGAAUUUAAAAAAAGAACUAAUCUAUCUAAAAUUAUUACAAACCCAAUUGAUAUAGAAAUGAAUAAAAAAAAUGAUGCUAAAACUAUGGGAUGAAUGAAAUGUGAGAUGAAAUGGUUAGUAUCAUAAGACAUAAAAAUAGUAGAAAGGUAAACAAAAUUGAAUAGAAUAGCAAGAGAGAAAAAAAAAGUAAUGAAAUGAAAUAAAAUGGCAAAAUAUACCUAAAAUUGGUUAUGACACUUAGACAUGCAUAUGACCUAUAAUCCCCUCAUUAUAGCAAUGUUAAAGGGGUUUGAUUUUGAGCUAUAAUGUGGGAACAAAUAGGACACAUGCAAGCCAAGAAUCAUGACAUAUUUUUAAAGGCAUUUUGCACUUUAUUUCUUGGUAAAAACACACGUUACUUGCAAAACAAGAAAGAAAUGAAAAUCUACAUCCACAAUCAGCAAGACAUACAUAUGAUCAGCAACAUAUUCACCAUGAAAUUACACACCAAUCAUCCACAUCACAUGCCAACAUUUUAUGAAAAAAUAUACCACAAAAAUACACAAACUUAGAUCAAACACAAAAUUAAUCAAGAAAAAUAACAUACACCUUUUUAUCAUUUUUUAAACCACUGAAAAAUAUCACAAAAGUGUUAAAAUGUAUUAAGAAACAUAUAACAAUUUUUUUUUGGAAUUUUUAGAGAAAAGAUUGAGCAUGCAGAGGUUCAGUUAGCAAAAAAGUAGGGUGCAGAUAGCAGGAAAAAUGGCAAAAACGCAUAGGAACCAAAGCCCAAACCAACCAAAAGAUCCGGGUUCACAAGGAGCGUUGGAUUGAUCCAGGGUAGGGAACCCUAGAUCCAACGGCCAGGAACGAAGGGGAUUGGACCGGUUUUGGACCGGUCCGGUUCACUGGCUUAUAUAAGCAUAUGAGCACCGGUUUUUUUUCAUUUUUUCAAGUUCUUUCUCUCUCUUCUCUCAUCCUAGUGAGAGAAGCUCUCACUUCUCUCCUCCCUCUCUCGCCGGAAACCGCAUCUCUCCUCCCUCUCCCUCGCCGGAAACUGCAUAUGGAGGAUGAUCUUCAUCUUCUCCGGUGAGGUUUGUUCCUCCGGCGUGGUGGCCGGCCGCCCAAGGGUGGCGGCGCCGCCGCCGGAGUUUGAACAAACUUCUCCGUUUUCGAAAAUUUUUACAUUUUUGGAUAUCCUUUUUCGUUCUAAGCAUGAAUAUGACAUUGGAUUUUGCAUGCAAGGUUCGUAUCAACGUAGAUCUGAGAUUCUUUUUACGGUUUUGAAUGAAACUUUUUUCAAGUUUUUUUGCUGUUUUCGGUUGGAAACUUUUAAAACUCUACAGAUCUACACUUGAUUCGCCUUUGUUGAUGUUCUUGCGAAAGAAAGAUGAAUUUUGAGUUUUACCUGUGAUUUUCGGUUGGAGAUUUCGAAUUUGUUCUUCGGAAAACUUCGAUUUGAUUCUGUUUGUGGAUUUUCUAAACUGAAACCGAAAAUAAAUCGGUGUUCUUCUUCUUCACCGGUUCGACUUUGCUUCUUUCCUUCUUCCUCUUCACUAAUUCUCUGUGAUCGGUGCUUGAGUUUGCCAAUGGCGAAUUCGCGCCUUGAAUUGCAGAGAAUCCGGUUCAAUGAUGAUGAUUGUUUGAAAAAUCACUGAGAACUGAACGAAUUUAGUUGAAAUUGUUGAUGAAUUGUGAUUCUGGAAUUCUAGGGUUCAUGAAUGUUCAGGGGCGGAUCUAGACAUUGCAUAUUAGUGUGGCAAAAUUUUUAAAGAAACUAUAAUAAAAUUAUACUAAAAAUAAUAUAUAAACAUUUAACCAUACAUUUGUUAAAUUACAAUGAAAAUCGUCUGUCAUCCAUUUGUUGAAAAUGAGCUAGAAUAACAUCAGUGCUAAUUGUGAAAAGAACAUCUCUUUCAAUAAAAGUUACAAGCCGAUCAUUUAACCAUUGAUCACCCAUUUUGUUACGUAAAUGACUCUUCACAAUCUUCAUAGCUGAAAAAACACGUUCAACACUUGCAGUUGCAACCGGCAAGAGCAAAGCCAACUUCAAAAGCUUAAAAACCAAAGCAAAUGUCUUGCACUUAUUUGUUUCCACAAGUAUUGCACAAAGAUCCGAAAGCCCUUUCAACUUUGCAAAUUUUGGAUCAGAUUUAACAUUUCUAACAUAAUUAUGAAGUUGUCUGCGCAACUCCACUUCCGACACAUCUACAAAAUCAUUUGGAUAAAGCUCAGCCAUCCUCAAUAAUUUGUUCACAUCAAAAGCAGAAAAUGACUUUGCAGGACUCAAACAUGAAACACAUUGUAAAAGUUCGGUAUUCUCUUCAUCAAACCUAGCAUUAAGCUCUUGCAAUUGCAAAUCUAAAACACUAAACAAACAAUCAUUCUUAUAAUGAUGCAAAUUAGAAACACUAGAAACCGGAGGGACUCGCCUAGGUUUCUUUCCUUCCAUAUAUGGUGCAUCCAUAUCAGGUACAUCAAUCUCAUGUUUAGUGCAAAUUGUCACAACCCUAGAUAUAAGUUCUUCCCACCCCUCAUUCCUCAUUUCUUGUAAUUGUUUUUUGGUAUCAUUGACAAGUGAUAUAGCAUUUAAAAGAUCUUGAUCACGUCUUUGUAGUGCUAGGCUCAAAUCAUUUGUAAUUCCCAAAAUCUCAACCAUCAUAUAUAACAUGAAGAUAAAAUCAAAUGAUUGAAGCACAUCAAGCAAAAGCACAGUUUCACCAAAUUUAUCAAACGAGGGAUCAUUCCCCACUUCUACAAUUACCUCAACAAUGGCACCAUACAAAGUCAUCAAACUAGUGAGAGUCCUAAAGUGGGAUCCCCAACGAGUGUCCCCUGCUCGAGCAAUUGAUGAAUCUUGAUUCAGUCCACUACCGGUCUCUAUCUCGCCCUCCUCAAUCAAUUUAGCAAAUUGAGCUAGUUGUUUGUCCCGGAGCAUUUCUUGUCUCUUGUUAGAAGCUCGUAUGAAAUUAACAAGCAUGUUGACCUUACCGAAAAAACCACUAACAGGUUUGUGAGUCUUAGCACAAGCAACAAGUGCCAAUUGAAGUUGAUGUGCGAAACAGUGCACAUAAUGCGCAGAUGGAUUCUCAUUUUGAAUUAAAGUUUUCAAACCACCAAAUCUACCUCGCAUAUUGCUAGCUCCGUCAUAACCUUGUCCCCUGAUGCUAGAGAAACUCAAUCCAUUUAUAGACAACAUCGUCUCAAGUGCAUCUUUAAGUGACUUAGCACUUGUUUCUUUAACACUUGUAAUACCAAGAAAUCUCUCUUUUACCAAACCAUCACCAUCAACAUAACGAAGAACAACAGCCAUUUGUUCUCUACCAGAAACAUCACCAGAUUCAUCGAUCAAAACACAAAACACAUCAUCCGCAAUAUCACAAACAAUUUCUCGAGUUAUUUCACAUGCACAAGCAGAAGCAAGAUCCUUUUGAAUCUUAGGGCAAGUCAUUAAGCUAUUUCCUGGCGCAGAGUCUAAUAUAGUAGCUACAUCUGAGUUGUUUUCCUUUAAAGUGUCCAACAACUCAAGAAAUGGCCCCUUGUAUAAAGAGUCAUCAGCCUCGUCACUUCCUCUAAAUGCCAAUCCACACCUCAAAAGAUACUUAGUAGCUAAAAGGGAUGUCUUAACACGGACACAAUAUUCAACAUUCAUUUGCUUAGUUUGAUUAACAAAUGCAGCCUUAAUACUUUGGUUUGGGUUCAUGAGAGCAUAACCCAUAUGCACACAAUCAACAUGAGAAUUAUUAGAAGUAGCAUGAUUAGCCAAUUUUCGGGGAUUCUUCCAAUCACCAAAACCAUCUCCCACAAAGUGAUCCCCACCAUAAUUAGACACAUUUUUAAACAAAAAACAUGGCAAACAAAAUGCUAGGUUCUUAGAUUCACUAUAUUCAAGCCAAUCAUACAAAUUAAACCAAUUCUUGUUAAAUCGACGUCUUGUUCCACGAAAAUCAGACCAAGGAUAAACAAAGUUGCUAGGAGGUUGAUGACGACGAAUUUUCAAGUAAGCUUUACGUACCUCAUCUUGGAUGUCAGGAUGAUAGCUUGAAAUUGGAGGCCUAAUUCCUGGAUCUGUUUCCAACAAUUUAUAAUCAACAACUUUAACACCCUCAUUGGUCGAGUUGGGAGCAAUAUCCGUAGUCGAAGAACUAGCUUUGUCUCUAGACAACACAGGGAAGAAUUUCUUCAUCCUAUAAUUUAUAAACACCAUUGUACAAUAAUUAAUCAAUUAUCAUAAACAAGCAAUUUUUAUCAUAAACACCAUUGCAGAAUUUUAAAACCCCAAUUCAAACCCUAAAAAAAACCCCAAAUCCCCAAUUCACAAUUCUAAAACCCUAAAAAAGCAAUUGUAGAAUGAAUGAGAAAGUAGAGAAUCAAUUGACUAUUUCACUUACCUUGGCUUAGACUUAGAGUGAAGAGAGAAAAUUAUGUUGCUGACUGAUGAGAGUGGAAGGAGAGGUUUGUUUGUUUGUUGUAAGAAGAUAUUUGAUUCAUUGAUUGUGAAUUGUGAUUUUUGAGAAGAGGAGAAGAGGAGAGUAGAAUGAAUGAGAAGAGGAGAAGAGGAGGAGAAGAGGAGAAUAGGAAAAGAAAAGUGUUUGUUUAUGUUUUUCAAUUUUCAAUUUCUAUCUUCCCCGUGCCAGGCCUUUCCCUUAUGAAUUAUGCAUAUUAAAAAAAAAAAAAAAAAAAAAAGAUUAGAAACUGGUGUGGCAUAUGCCACACCAUGUUUCAUGCUGCCUCCGCCCAUGUGAAUGUUCUUCAUGUUCUUGAUAGUUUCUGAGUUUUUGAUCUAACUGAAUGGAGAGAGAAACUGUGAUUCUGUUUGUUGAGGUGGCGUGAAUUGUGUGGGUUCUGAUUCUGACUUGUACAGUAAUUGCACCUUUUAUAGGCUGCCAAGUGUGCUUGAGACCCAAUGGGAGAGGGACACCUGUUUUUUGGACUUAGGGACCUCUUUGCAAAAAAGAAAAAGUAAAAGGACUGAACUGCAAUAAUGAAAAAAGGACUAAAAAUACAAUAAUGAAAAGUAUUGGAAAAAAAUGUAAAUUUUAAAAGGUUUUGGACUAAAGUGCAAUUCUGGAAAUUGUUUGAAGGGCUAAAAUGCAAAAAAAUAAAAUUGGACUAAAAUUGGUAAAUUGGACAAAACGUAAAGUGAAACCAAAAAUAAAAUCAACAAAAGGACUAAAAUGAACCAGCUACAAAAAUGAGGUAUUUUAAAAUACCUCUCUGCCGAAAUUUUGACAAGAAAAGACCAAAAUGCCCCUGGGGACUAAACUGACCCAAACUGACUCAGAUGCAAUUUUUGAAAUGAUUUUUUUUUAAACAAAGACUUAACAAUGGUUUGUACAGACAAGUUGAAAAGACUCAGAGGCAAACACAGGGACUAAAAUGGGUUCCACUGCAGGAAAUGACCAAAAUACCCUUUUGUAUGAUUUUUGAAAUAAAAUGCAAGAAAAGUAAUGCGACGCUUCAGAGAGUUCUUAAAUGACUUGUAAUGUCAGAAAAGACAGAGGCAGUAAAAUACGUUUAAAAAGAGAGUAAAGAUUCAGAGUAAAAUAACAGAGAAUUGACAAAUAUCAGUGUUAAAAAAGAAAUUUGAAUGAGUAUUUUUAGGUCCAAAAUCAGGGUAUAACAAUAUAUAUAUUAUUUGUUGUAGAAAUAUACAUAAUAUGUUAUAGAAAUAUAUAUGAUUUUUUAUAGAAAUAUAUAUGAUUUGUUGUAGAAAUAUUUGUUAUUUGUUAUAGAAAUAUUAUAUAUAUAUAUAUAUAUAUUAGAAUAUAAUAUUAAGAUUUGAAUAUAAGAGAAAAAUAAGUAGGUUAAGGAUUUAUAUAAAUAGGAGAGACCUAGUUUAGAAAAAACAUAACGUAUGAUCAAUUUUGGAGAAAAGGGAGAAAAAGCCAAGAGAAGGGAGAAGCACCUAGAGAGCUGCGAUUUUCAUUGUUAAGGUAAGGGUGAGACUAACUUUGCAGUUCUAUUAAUUCCAUGAAUCAACGGUUACAUUUAACAUGAAUUAGGAUGAGUUUAAGAAGAAUCAAAAAUUAGGUCAAAUUGAUAGAAUUGAUGAUUAAACGGUGAAAAGUUGUUAGAAUGAUGUAGAAAUUGUUCCUAGACCUUAGAUAAUGAUUAUGAUGAAUUCUGGAAUCAUGAUUAGGAUUUAAACCAUGAGAGUUGAUGAUUUUUCAUAAAAACUGCACUUCUGCCCGUAGCGACAUUCAUCGCUCGCCUCCCGAGCUAUGAUCCUCGCCACGGCGAGGGAUGAACUUCAUCGCUCGCCACGCGAGCAACCUUACCCACCUCUCGAGGUGCACGACGCAGCUCGCAAUAGCGAGCAGAUGAACUCGCCAUAGCGAGUAUGACCAGAAAGCUAUCCAAAUUUCGUGAUUUUGACUUUUGAGUUGAACCUUAGAUGCUUUUGAGUGCCUGAACAUGUUUAAUAAUGAUUAGGAGAGAAUGUAGGAUGAGAUUGAACCUGGAAUGAAACUUGUGGGAUUCUGACCUGAACUCGCCAUGGCGAGCAGAGGCUCUCGCCUCGCGAGCGACCCAGAAACAGAGUGACUUGUUAGAUUUUGCGACCUUUGUUGCACGAGUUGUCGAGAGUUGAACCUUGGGGUAGCAUUAAGACUUGAAUAUGAUAUUAAUUACAAGAUGUUAAAUGAAUAAUUGAGAGUUGAACCUUGAAGCUGUUAUGAGAUGUUAAUGUUGAUUUAUGAUGUGAUAUAAUGUAUACGCAUUACUUGAAGUUUAAAUGAAUAAUUGAGAUGAUUGUUGGCUUGCGUUGAUAUUGUUAUGGCAUGCUGUUUUUGUAUACUGUUGUGUUGCUGUUGUUAUUUAACUAAGCUGCAUGAGUCGGUCUAAGAUGAAGGAUGAUGUUCCAAUUUAUUGGAUUUGUAUUAAGAAAGUCGAUGUUCUAAAAUGUUGAGAAGUUGAGUCCAUUGCAUACGCAUAAUACGAGAUGGUAGAGAGCUUGAUGCUCUGUAAUGUAUAUUUAUACAUAAUAUGUGAUGGUAGAGAGCUUGAUGCUUUGUAAUGUAUAUUUAUACAUAAUACGCGAUGGUAGAGGGCUUGAUGCUCUGAGAGCCUAUUUACGCUCAAUACGAUGGGGGCUUGAUGUCCUAAAUGGUACCACAUGCAUGAUUAAGAGGUAGUAGUCGCAUUUCGUCUAGAUGGUUCAAGAGGUAUGAGAUGUCUAACUUGCAUUGUCGAGUUGAAGUCGUGUCGUUGUUGUUAAGUUGUUAAUUACCCACGUGUCGUUAAUGAAACGCUUAUGAAGAUUAUGAUAUUGAUUACGAUAUUGUUAUGCGAUAAUUCUUAUGAUGUGAUGUUAUGUUGUUAUAAGAGGAUCCUAAUGAUGCGUUGUUUAUGUUGUGAUAUUUAUUGAUGAGUCAUUUAUUAUCUAUUUUAAUAUAUUAUUUAGUUUCAUUUUAAUUAGAUUUAGGUUUAUUUUAUAUAAAUAUUAUUUCCUUUUUGAACUAUUUUACUACAAUUACAUAUUGUUAUAUUUCAGGAACGAAUAUUUGAUGGAUUGAGUCUUGGAGCAAAAGAAAGGGGUUUUGGAGCUGAUUUGGUACAAAAAUACGAAGAUUCGGAGACAAAAAUAUAUCUCUCUCAAGUCAUAAACUUGGCACGGCCCGUGCUAGGCUUGGCACGGCCGUGCCACAUGUAACAGCCCGAUUUUUCGGUAGAUUUAUUUUAAUUACUUUUAUUAUGUGUUUUAUGUGUUUGUGUGUGAUUAAUCAUCAUUGGGUGCAUUUUCGAGGAUUUCCGUAAUAGAAGGGUAUUUUGGUCAUUUGGCGUAAAGGUAAAAUGGUAAUUUUGGUGAGAAUUAUUUUUAAUAUUUAGUGAGAACCCUUAUUUUACUAAGUUACUAGUCUAGUGAUUAGUUUUUACCGUUUAGUGACCGUUUGUUAUGUUUUACCGUUGUUAGUAAUUACCGUUGAGUGUAUAGAAACUUUUUAGAAUUGUGUUAGAAUGGGUUAAGCCCACUAGGGUCUAGAAUUGAGCCCAAUUGAGUUGUAGCAUACCUAAACCUAAACUUGGAGAGAAAUUCAUUCAUUCAUUUCAUUUCACAAAGUUAGAGAGAGGUAGAGAGAGAAAGUGAGUGAAAGGAAGAACAAGGGUUAGCAAAGGGGGAAAACUUAAAGAUUGGAGAAUUAGGAGCUAAAGUGAAGUUUAAGUUUGGAUUAAUCAUAACCUAAGGUAAGGGGGUUAGUCUUCAUCAUAAUCAUAAUUGUUUGUUUGCAAUUUUUCUUGGUUUGUAUGAAAAAGUGCUUAAGUGAGUGAGAAUUCAUAUGAACCCAAUCUCUAAUUUUCGUGCUCUUGUUUUGGUGAUAAGUUUGAGUAUGUUAAUUGAAUGAUAAAUGAAUUGUUGGUGAUGAAAUAACAUGUUCAUAAUGUAUGAAAAUGGGUUGUUGUGAAGUUAUGCUUAAUUGAUGACUUAUGACAUGUUGUUGUUGAAUUGCGGUGUGAAUCAAGUUUCAAUUGAUGUUGUUGUUGAUAUGUCAUGUUGUUGAUGAUAAUCCAUGGCUUGGGUUUGCAUGAUUCAUGAUUGUUGUGGAGAAAUGAGUUGUUGGUGGUGGUUUUGUAAAAUGGCUUGAUAAAGAAGAAGUUUGAUUUUGAUGAUGUUGAAUGAGAUAAGGAAGUUGUUAGAAUGAAUUAGGAUGGUAUGAUUUUCUGUUUUAAUCACUUGGUUUUGGAGAGAAAUCGUUUUGGGAAGAAAACGGGUUUUUGAGUAAAAGUGGUUUUUAAGUGCUUUUGCAAAAUAAGUCAUUUUGGGAUGAGUUUGAUUAAGUUGUUUUAAUGUUUAAAUGUCAAGUUUUCAAGUGUGGUAUGUAUGGUCUAAGUGUUAGGAAUGCAUUGGCGAAAAUGGAACUGAAAUCGGAUUCGAAAACAAGAUUUUAUGCGCAAAAACGUAAAAAUGCAUUUUGCUGUACUGGUGAGGUGACACGACCGUGCGUCUAGAUGGCACGACCGUGUCAGUUUCUCCUGUAAAGGGAGCACGACCGUGCGUCCUGAUGACACGACCGUGUCAGUUCUGCAGAAUUCUGAAACCUCGUUUUUUCGUGUUUUUGUGUACUUUUAAGCAUGCCAAUUGAUUCCAAACACCUAACCUUAUUCAAUCAAUUUAUAAUUAAGCUUCUAAGAGUAUCAUAGCUUGAUUCUAACUUGGUUUUGUUUUGAUAAUGAAUUCGUUUUGCAAUAUGGAAGAAAUGAUAUGAACUUGUCGUAAUUUGGUAAUUUUGAUGAUUUUGUCGAAAUGAACUUUUGUGAACUAAAUAGGAUUACAAGUUAAACCUACAGCUCUUAUAGACUUAGGUAAGACUUGUAUGGUUGGUCAAACAUCUUAAUCAUGUCAAAAAUGAUAUUUUGGGUGGGAAUGUGAAAGAUUGUGAAAUUGGGUUUUCUCAUACGAACUUAAGCUAUUCUUUGAACUAAUGUCUAAUAGUUUGUAAAUGGCUUAAGCUCAAGACUACAUGAUUGAUUAAGAUUGUUUGAGAGCUUUUAACAUGUCUAAGUUGCUUUGUCUUGGAAAUUAUCAAUGUUGGUCGUUUGCCACUUGAUACGGUUUUUGUCGGAAAUGUUUCCUUUGAACCAAUUUUCUUAUAAUCUAUUGUGACUAUCCUUAUAUGACUAAGUGAAGAUGUGUGAAUGAAUGAUUGUAUUGGAUAUGAUGUUUAUCAUGAGAUGUGUAUGCUAUCUUACUUAGAAUGUAAGGAAUGCUUGAAUGGUGAAACUAUAUGUGAUAGUUGAUGUUGAAUGAUUGUAUUGGAUAUGAUGUUUAUCAUGAGAUGUGUAUGCUAUCUUACUUAGAAUGUAAGGAAUGCUUGAAUGGUGAAACUAUAUGUGAUAGUUGAUGUUGAAUGAUUAUAUGUUGGAUAUGAUAUUUGUCAUGAGAUGUUGUAUGUUCUCUUACUUGGAAUAUGAGAAUUGUUUGAAAUGGUGAAACUAUAUGUGAUAGUUGAUGUUGAAUGAAAUUGUUGAUUAUUGAUAAUCAUGUUGAGGUGUGAUGGUGAAUACUAUGAUUUAAUUGUGUAUGGGCAUGUUUCUUGAUAAUGCAAUGAUGUGGAGAUGAAUAAUAUAAUUGGGUGUCGUCCUAUAUAUUGUGGAGAAAAUUGUGUUUGUUGUCGCAUUAUCGAGUUCUUAUACAUGUCCAUGCAUCAUAGUUGUGUUGAGAUACGAUGUUUUAUUCGUUAUAGGGCUUCGGCCUGACAGAGAUCUUUUGAGAUCUAGUUUUGGACUUCGGUCUAGCAGAGAUCUUUUGAGAUCUGGAUACGAUAUUUUAUUCGUUAUAGGGCUUCGGCCUGGCAGAGAUCUUUUGAGAUCUGGAUAUGGGUGACGACCUUUUGGAGAUUUGGUACCACAUGCAUUUAUGUGUCAAUAAGUGCAUAUCAUGACAUGAGUCAUAUUUGAAAAUGUGAUUGGUGAUUGGUGAUUAUGUGUGAAUAAUUGUGAAUUGAUGUUUGACACAUGUGAUUAAUGAUUGUCCAUGAAAUGUGAUUAAUGAAUGUUCAUAGAAUAUGAUUGGUGAUUGUUCAUGAAAUGUGAUUGGUGAUUGUUCAUGAUGUAUAUGAUUGGUGAUUGUUCAUGAAUAACUGUGAAUUGAUAUUUGUUCAUGACACAUGUGAUUGGUGAUUAUUGAUGUGAGAUAUUGGGGUUUUGAUGUAAGUAUAUAUAUGAGAAUAUUAUUUGUUGGAACAAAAUGUGUUUCACAAUAAACCUUAAUGAGUUUUGAUGAUAACAAGGUAUUAAAAAUUGUCAAUUGGUUAUUGCUAACAAUUGUUCAAGUGUACAGGACCAUAGGCAAAGUUAAUCAAUUUCAAAAGGUCUUGGAAGAACAAUGAAGAGCAAAGGAAUCCAAAGCAUCUGAAGAAAACUGCGUCUGAAGCUAAGAAGUGCUUCUGAAGUAAAAAGUGCCUCUGAAGUAGUGACGUCAUCAGAAGCAGAAGUUCAUCAGAAGCAGAAGACCAUCAGAAGCAAGGUUUCAUCAGAAGCUAUAUCAUCACCAGAAGCUACAAGUGAUCAGUAAAUUUAAACUGAAGAUUCAAAGGAGCUGUUUUUCGUUUCAACCUCGUCUAGAAGAACGAAGAAUUGAAAGGGAGGUAUCAACGGUCAUUUGAAGAACACUGGGUACUUAUCCUUCGUUAUCAGAGUUGACAAAGUACAAGUGUACAACCACUACCUCCACUACUCUGUUUUUGUCUACGCUACAAGACAAGACAACAGCUCUGCCUGCAGAAUUGUUCCUUCAAGAUGGGAAUGAAUUUGAAGUUGAUCCUUCAAAGGACUUUACCCAAAUCAGGCAAAAGAUUACUGGUGGAUGAUCAAAGGAACUCAACGACUCUUUAGACGUGCUAAAAAUCUCAACGUCUCUUUCACACCUCUAUAUAAAGGAGUGAAGACUUGAAGAUUGGCAAAAGACAUCAACACAAGUUAAAAGUGCCAAAACUCUGCCAAAUUUAAUUCUACAAAGCACCUUGAAUUUCUGCACUGAUUUGAUACAUCUUAGAAAUUCAUAAGUCUAGAGUCUUUAUUGCAUUGUAUUGUGAACACCACUGAUUGUAUAUCAAGUGUUCAAAUCAAACAUUUUCUCUGUAUUUUUGUUUGAAAAGAAGUCUGUCGCCUGUGUGCUUGAGUAUUAGAAGACUCUUGCUUUAGUGCUUGAGCAUUGGAAGUCUCUCGCCUGUGUGCUUGAGCAUUUUGAGAAAUCUCAUACUUAGAGAGUAUUGAGCAUUUGUAAUCUUUGUGAUUAUUAGUGAAAUCUCCUUGGAAGUGCAAGGGGGACUGGACUACUUCCGAUUUAUGGAAGGAACCAGGAUAAUUGCUUGUGUCUCUCUUUCUUUUCUCUGCUCUGUUUUAUUCCGCUGCAUAUCUGUUGUUCAGUCAGAACCUGAAGCUUCUGGUUCUAAGGCUAAGAUUACAUCAAAGCCAGAAAAACUCAAGUCUAAGGUUAUGACAAAAUCUGAUCCUAAGACUACAAAGAUCAAAAUUCUGAAAAGAUCAGAACCUGUUCCUCAGAGUCUGAUUAAACCAGAACUUAGAAUCCUAAAGUCAAAGGAUCAGAAGAACAAAACAGUUACUGCUUCUGAGAAAACAAUAUCCAAAGGUGUUAAACCUAAAGUAUUGAAUGAUCAGAAGCUACUCAGCACUCACCCCAAGGUACAAGGGAGGAAAAGUAAAACCUCCAGAACUAACCCAAAAGGACCCAUGAAGAUAUGGAUACCUAAGUCUGAAUUGAUCAAAACUGCAGGUAUGCCUAAGGGCAAGAGAGAAACAAAGGUCAUGGUACCUAGACAGCGGUUGUUCAAGGCACAUGACAGGAGAGAAAGCUUUGUUCCUCACCCUUACCAUGAAAGAUGGAGGAGAAGUGAAGUUUGGUGGCAACCAAACUGGAAAGAUCAUUGGUACAGGUACUAUUGGUAAUUCCUCCAUUUCAAUUAAUAAUGUUUGGUUAGUAGAUGGUCUGAAGCAUAACCUAUUGAGCAUCAGUCAAUUUUGUGACAAUGGGUAUGAUGUUAUGUUCAGUAAGACCAACUGCACUCUAGUCAACAAGGAUGACAAAUCCAUCACAUUUAAGGGAAAGAGAGUUGAGAAUGUCUAUAAGAUUAAUUUCUCUGAUCUGGCUGAUCAGAAGGUAGUUUGCCUUCUGUCAAUGAAUGAUAAGAAGUGGGUAUGGCAUAAAAGGUUGGGACAUGCUAAUUGGAGAUUAAUUUCUAAAAUCAGCAAGUUACAACUUGUCAAAGGCAUGCCUAACAUUGAUUAUCAUUCAGAUGCACUUUGUGGUGCAUGUCAGAAAGGAAAAAUUGUUAAAACUUCUUUCAAAUCCAAAGACAUUGUAUCAACCUCCAGACCCUUAUAUGGAAGUAAAUAUGGUUUAGUCAUUGUUGAUGAUUACAGCAGAUGGAUUUGGGUAAAAUUCAUUAAAAGUAAAGAUUAUGCAUAUGAAGUGUUUAGCAGCUUCUGCACUCAAAUACAAUUUGAAAAGGAAAUGAAAAUUUUGAAAGUCAGAAGUGAUCAUGGUGGAGAAUUUGAAAACGAGCCAUUUGAAUCUUUUUGUGAAAAACAUGGGAUUCUCCAUGAAUUCUCUUCUCCUAGAACUCCACAACAAAAUGGGGUUGUAGAGAGAAAGAACAGAACUUUACAAGAAAUGGUCAGAACCAUGAUCCAUGAAAAUAAUUUAGCUAAACAUUUCUGGGCAGAAGCAGUUAAUACUUCAUGUUAUAUUCAAAAUAGGAUCUAUAUCAGACCUAUGUUGGAGAAAACUGCAUAUGAACUCUUUAAAGGAAGAAGACCUAAUAUCUCUUACUUUCAUCGGUUUAGAUGUACUUGUUACAUUCUAAACACUAAAGACUAUCUAAAGAAAUUUGAUGCCAAGGCUCAAAGAGGAAUCUUUUUAGGUUACUCUGAAAGGUCAAAGGCAUACAGAGUGUAUAAUUCAGAUACACAUUAUGUUGAAGAAUCUAUGCAUGUUAAAUUUGAUGAUAAAGAGCCUAGAAGUAAAACUCCAGAGCAAGUUGAAAGUAAUGCAGGUGCAAAUGAUUCUGAAGAUGCAUCAGAAUCUGAUCAACCUUCUGAUACUGAAAAGAAUUCAGAAGAUGAAUCAAGUCCAGUUGCUGAAUCAAAUCCAGAAGCUGAAUCAAGUUCAGAAGCUGAACCUAAUCUAGAAGCACAGAAUGAAAAUGCUUCUGAGGAUAUUCAAGAUAACACUCAGCAUGUGGUUCAACCAAAAUUCAAGCACAAAUCUUCACAUCCUGAGGAGCUGAUCAUUGGAAGCAAAGACAGUCCUAGAAGAACAAGAUCUCAUUUCAGACAAGAAGAAUCUUUGAUAGGAUUGCUGUCAAUAAUUGAGCCAAAAAAUGUUGAAGAAGCUCUCUCAGAUGAUGGAUGGAUAUUAGCUAUGCAAGAAGAGCUAAAUCAGUUUCAAAGGAAUGAUGUGUGGGAUCUGGUACCCAAACCUAUUCAGAAGAACAUUAUUGGAACAAAAUGGGUAUUCAGAAACAAGCUGAAUGAACAAGGAGAGGUAACCAGAAACAAAGCUAGACUUGUUGCACAAGGUUAUAGUCAACAAGAAGGCAUUGAUUACACUGAAACUUUUGCUCUAGUUGCAAGAUUGGAAGCAAUCAGGUUACUUCUAUCCUAUGCAGUUAAUCAUGGCAUAAUAUUAUAUCAAAUGGAUGUCAAGAGUGCUUUUCUUAAUGGUGUCAUUGAAGAAGAAGUGUAUGUCAAACAACCUCCUGGGUUUGAGGAUCUUAAGCAUCCUGACCAUGUUUACAAACUUAAGAAAUCACUAUAUGGCUUGAAACAAGCUGCCAGAGCUUGGUAUGAUAGACUAAGUAAUUUCUUAAUUAAAAAUGAUUUUAAGAGAGGUCAAGUUGACACAACACUCUUCAGAAGGACUCUUAAGAAAGACAUUCUGAUUGUGCAGAUAUAUGUUGAUGAUAUAAGAUUUGGUUCUACUAAUGCAUCUCUUUGCAAGGAAUUUUCUAAGUUAAUGCAGGAUGAAUUUGAAAUGAGCAUGAUGGGAGAAUUAAUGUUCUUUCUUGGAAUUCAAAUUAAUCAAAGCAAAGAAGGAGUAUAUGUUCAUCAAACAAAAUAUACAAAGGAGCUUCUGAAGAAGUUCGAGCUAGAAGAUUGUAAAGUGAUGAACACUCCAAUGCAUCCAACCUGCACCUUAAGCAAAGAAGAUACUGGAACUAAAGUAGACCAGAAGCUAUACAGAGGUACGAUUGGUUCUCUGUUAUACCUCACUGCAUCUAGACCAGAUAUUUUAUUCAGUGUAUGCUUGUGUGCAAGAUUUCAAUCAGAUCCUAGAGAAUCUCAUUUAACUGCUGUUAAGAGAAUCUUCAGGUAUCUGAAAGGAAAAACUAAUCUUGGACUCCUGUAUAGGAAAUCUCUAGAUUAUCAGUUGGUUGGAUUCUGUGAUGCUGAUUAUGCUGGUGACAGGAUUGAAAGAAAAUCAACCAGUGGAAAUUGUCAAUUCCUGGGAGAGAAUCUGAUAUCCUGGGAAAGCAAAAGACAAGCAACAAUUGUUAUGUCUACAGCAGAAGCAGAAUACAUUUCAGCUGCAAGUUGUUGUACACAACUACUUUGGAUGAAAUAUCAGUUGGAAGAUUAUCAGAUUAAUGCUAACAGUAUUCCCAUCUUUUGUGAUAAUACUGCUGCUAUUUGUUUGUCAAAGAAUCCAAUUCUACAUUCAAGAGCCAAGCAUAUUGAAAUCAAACACCAUUUUAUCAGAGAUUAUGUUCAAAAAGGAGUUUUAGAUAUACAAUUCAUUGAUACUGAGCAUCAAUGGGCUGAUAUAUUUACAAAGCCUUUAACUGUUGAAAGAUUUGAUUUUAUCAAGAAAAAUUUGAACAUGCACUUUGUGUCUGAUUAAGAUUUGCUUGCCUCUGAAUAAGAAGCUUGGUUCUGAAAUUUAUUCAGAAGCUUUGGUCCAUCAUAAGCUCUUAACUGAGGUUCUGAGGAAAAUGUGCUUCUGAAGAUGACGUCAGCACUAAAACUUCAGAAGCUGUAUUCUUUACUACUAAAUAGCAGGGUUAGUGGGAUCGUUGGCAGUUACGUUUUAGUAACACCUGUCCCAUUAACCAAGGUUAUUAGUCUGAAAAGUUUCUGACGUGGUCUAUUUGUAUUGGAGUAUAACAAAAAGGGCAAUGAUGAUUUAUAUGCUUUUAAACGUACUAACACGCGCCCCCAAUUUGUCAUUAAUGCUAUGUUUGUUUGUUCCCUCUUGAAUUGCAAACGUUUUUACUAAAAACACUUAGACAAACACACACUACUCACUUCACAACCAACACUUUUGCUUUCCAACCUUCUCUGCGAAGUAAGCGCAUUUCUUCUAAAACCCUAGAAACCUUUUCUCCUUCAAUCAAUCAAAUGGUUUCAUCAAGUUCUGCUCCUGGAUCAUCAUCAAACAAGUAACAACAAGAAACUCCUGCAUACGAGAUAAAAGGAAGAACCAUGUCCUUGGAGGAAUGGGAUUUGAAGAUUCAAACUGAAUGUCCGGUGGACUUCGUUUCACUAGCUGCUAAUAAUUGCGACAUUGGGAAAUUCUACGAUGUUAAAGGAUUGGGGAGCUACUUCAACUUUUUGAAUGGUCCAACUUAUCAAACACUGGUGCGACACUUCUGGGUCAGGGCCAGUAUUUACGAUAAAGAAGCUGCAAAAAUUGAAGAAGAUGAGAAAGUUCUUCUUUAUCCAAAACUGAAAGGGAAAUCCAGAAAAGAAAUGGGUUUAGAACCUUUCUCAGGGACAGAGAUAAGAUCAAGUGUAAUGGGAAUUCCGGUUCACAUUACUGAGGAUGUUAUUGCUUUUGUUCUCAGAAGGCCAGCUACAGGGGAAUACAAAGCUGGUAUUACGAAAGUCAAAGAUAGUCCUUGGAAUGAACUUGUAAAUCAGACUAUCUACAACAAAGCAACCAAGGGAACGUAUUCUGAUAUGACACCUGAAAACAGAAUGAUGCUGAAGAUUCAGAAUGAAAAUCUGCUACCAAAAGGUGGUGGUAGUGAUCAGCCUUCAUUGGAGCACAAGAUUCUCCUUCACUUUGUCAUAACAGGUGUAAAGGCAAAUGUGCCUAGAUACAUCUUCAGGCACAUGGUACAACAACUCAGAGAAAACCAGUUGAGAAAUAGGUGCUGGGUACCCUAUGGGAGGCUUCUCUCUGAAAUCUUUCAUCAAGGAGGUCUUCUCAACCUUCUUAAGGAAGUGGAUUUCUUCACUGAUGAACAGCUGGGCACUGUUACAGGAAAGAUCAUCAAUGGAGAAACUCUAAGGUCUAAGCAUCUGAUCAAUGUAAAGGAUCUUAAGAAGCUAAGCACAGAUAUGACAGAAUCUGAUGCUAAAUCAGCUAUGAUGAAGGAUUUUCCUCCAAUCUGCAAACAAGACCCUCUGGAUGUUCAGAUGCACUACAUCAGGGAACAUUUUGAGAGAACUCAGGUCAAGAUCAGCUUGAAGGAAGUACCUGAACAAAUGUAUGGAGGAGCUCUUCCUGUUGCCAAGAGCAGGAAGACAAAGAGCAAAGCCUUAUCCAAGGAAGAGUACUUGGUAGAAGAAGCUCCAAGAAAAGCUUCCAAGAGAUCAAAGGCUGCUGAUAAGGAUGGUGAAGCAGCACCUAAACCCAAGAAGGCUAAGACUGUCAAGACUGAAGGUUCAACUGUUUCUACUUCUGAGGAAGUUAUUCAGAAGAAGAGAAACAAAGAGCCAGAGGUUCAAGAUGCUGCUAGGGAAGCUGCUCUUCGUGAAAAGGCCACUAAAAAGGAAGCUGCUCUCCAAACUAUCAGAAGCAAGAGAGCUAAGGGAGAGAGAAGUGUUCAGGAGCGAAUGAAGGAAGUUGCUGAACAAGCCAGAAGAGAAGAAGUAGAAGAGCCAAGUCCCAAGAAGGCUAAGAAGCCUGUGCCAUUGGAGAUGCCUUGUUUCAGAGUCACUCCUGAACAAGAGUAAAAGGCUAGAGAAAUUGUUGCUAAUGAGAUAGCCAAAAGGAAGCAGAUGGCUGAAAUCUACAAGAAGAACAGAGAUGAACAGCUCAAAACAGCAAGGUAUAAUCUGGAUGCUGAGAAAGCUGUUGUGAUUGCUUCUAUAGCUGCUGAAGUUGAAGAACAAGCAGUUAAGGAAGGAACUGCUCUGUUAAAAGAAGCUCUGAAAGCUAAGAAUGUUUCAGAAGCACAAACUUCAAAACAAGCAUCAGAAGCUACUAGAUCAGAAGCUCAUCUAUCAGGUAUCUCUUCUGAUCCUAAAGCUAAAAUCAAUGUUCAGACUUCUACCCUUCCAUCUUCACCCUCUCUAUCCUCAUUAUCAUCCUCCACUGACUCAGAUGAUAUUCCUCUAAGUCAGCACAUCAAACAAAGUCUACCAAACUACAAACCAUCAAAAUCAACCUUUCAAGAAACCACAGACUAUGAACAGAUGCAGAUUGAUUUCUCUAAAUAGAGGAUAAAAAUCUGUGACAAACUGCCUUCUGAUCAUUUCUUCCAACCACCUAUGAUUGAACCUCUAAGUGUCCAACACCCAGAAACCAACCCAGAACCACAAAAAGCCUCUGAAGUAGCUUCAAAAGCAACUACUUCAGAAGACCCCUAACAACAUGAAACCUCAACCCUUCAUAACCUAGAAAAACAUUUAGGAGGUGAAAUGCAAUCAACCCCUACAAAGGCCUCUAAAACAGUCCCUGAAAAGACUGUCUUAGAAAACCAACCUGAAAUCUCAACCAACCAAGAGCAAAAUGUUCCUGAACAAACUGUUCCUGAACAAGUUGCCUCUGAAAUACCCCAAACUAACCCAGAACAACAAACAUAAAAUCCUAACCAUUCACCAACUCAGAAUCAAACAAUUCCUGAGCAACACACUACUCCUGACCAACCAUCUUCAUCUCAUACAUCAGCCAUUCCUGAACCUUCAUCUAUUCCACAACCUAUACCCAUCCCAGAUACCAUUCUUGAGUCUAAAUAUAUUGAUGAAGAGCUUCAAAGGAUCAGUGAUGAGAUUCAAGGACUUGUUCUUCUCAGAAAAGUUCCUUCUCUCUCAAUUCACUAUGUAGAUCAAUGGAUGAAUCUGAAAGCUAGUUUGAAGAAGGUGUUUGAUGAGUUGCUGGAACUACUAAGUGAAAAAUGCAUCAUAACUCAAGCUGAAGUGCUUAAGAAGCAUCUUGAAGAUCUUCACUCAGUUGAGAUAGAGAAAGAGCAAGACUCCUUACUUCUGUUAGCUAAUGCUCCUUUCUUUCCAGAAAGUGACUACGUAUCAAGAGGAGACGGAAUUCUUCAAGGGUUGAAAAGAAGACUUAGAGCUAAGAAUGAAGAAGUUCAGAAGGUCAAGCAGAAGUCUGAUACCCUUGAAGAAGUGGUGAACAAGCAAGCAGAAGAACUCAAGAAUCAGUCUGAGCAAAUCAAGUACUUGAUGGAACAAGUCUCUAAAUUAGCCAAACCAUAGUUGCACACCAAUUUUUGCUUGUUUAGAUUUUAUUUUAGUAUUAACUUGCUCUGAUUGUGUAUCUUAUCUUGCUCAUCAUGUAUCAUUCAUUGCUUCUGAAACAAUUGCUAUUAAUCAUUUAUGCUCUGAUACUUAUAUAUGAGAUAUUGGGGUUUUGAUGUGUGUAUAUAUAUGAGAAUAUUAUUUGUUGGAACAAAAUGUGUUUCACAAUAAAUCUUAAUGAGUUUUGAUGAUAACAAGGUAUUAAAAAUUGUCAAUUGGUUAUUGCUAACAAUUGUUCAAGUGUACAGGACCAUAGGCAAAGUUAAUCAAUUUCAAAAGGUCUUGGAAGAACAAUGAAGAGCGAAGGAAUCCAAAGCAUCUGGAGAAAUUUGUUUCUGAAGUUAAGAAGUGCUUUUGAAGUAACAAGUGCCUCUGAAGUAAUGACGUCAUCAGAAGCAGAAGACCAUCAGAAGCAAGGUUUCAUCAGAAGCUAUAUCAUCACCAGAAGCUACAAGUGAUCAGUAAAUUUAAACUGAAGAUUCAAAGGAGCUGUUUUUCGUUUCAACCUCGUCUAGAAGAACGAAGAAUUAAAAGGGAGGUAUCAACGGUCAUUUGAAGAACACUGGGUACUUGUCCUUCGUUAUCAGAGUUGACAAAGUACAAGUGUACAACCACUACCUCCACUACUCUGUUUUUGUCUACGCUACAAGACAAGACAACAGCUCUGCCUGCAGAAUUGUUCCUUCAAGAUGGGAAUGAAUUUGAAGUUGAUCCUUCAAAGGACUUUUCCCAAAUCAGGCAAAAGAUUACUGGUGGAUGAUCAAAGGAACUCAACGACUCUUUAGACGUGCUAAAAAUCUCAACGUCUCUUUCACACCUCUAUAUAAAGAAGUGAAGACUUGAAGAUUGGCAAAAGACAUCAACACAAGUUAAAAGCGCCACAACUCUGCCAAAUUUGAUUCUACAAAGCACCUUGAAUUUCUCACUGAUUUGAUACAUCUUAGAAAUUCAUAAGUCUAGAGUCUUUAUUGCAUUGUAUUGUGAACACCACUGAUUGUAUAUCAAGUGUUCAAAUCAAACAUUUUCUCUGUAUUUUUGUUUGAAAAGAAGCCUCUCGCUUCUGUGCUUGAGCAUUAGAAGACUCUUGCUUUAGUGCUUGAGCAUUGGAAGUCUCUCGCCUGUGUGCUUGAGCAUUUUGAGAAGUCUCAUACUUAGAGAGUAUUGAGCAUUUGUAAUCUUUGUGAUUAUUAGUGAAAUCUCCUUGGAAGUGCAAGGGGGACUGGACUACUUCCGAUUUGUGGAAGGAACCAGGAUAAUUGCUUGUGUCUCUCUUUCUUUUCUCUGCUCUAUUUUAUUCCGCUGCAUAUCUGAUUCUGAACAUCACAUCAGAAGCAUUUCUAACCAGCUUCUAAAGUGUUAUUAGAAGAAGAAUUUUUAGUGAAAAAGAAAACUCAAUUCAACCCCCCCUUCUUGUGUUUUUCUCACCUUCAUUAUUAUUGAUCAAAUGCAUGAUGUUAAUUGAAAUAUUCAUGUUAACUGUUAUUUGGAUUAUGAUAAUGUAAUACUUACCCCCAGUGGGUCUGUUAUGGACCGCCUGCCUAUCUGUAUGGAUGGGUAGACGUUGUGCAGGUUUGGUUGCUUGGUGAGUAUUGUGCUUGGUGGAUAUCGGGAGCUUUCUCCGAUAUCGGUGUUUAGAUGUUUAGUGGGCUGUGAUCUAGGCUUCGUUGUGUCGGUCUAGAUUAGUUUCUUUUGGAUUUUGUUUUGUUGGAGAUUGCCCGUUUGUUUGGGAUUUUCGAGAUGCAUCUAUGUUGAUGUAAUUUAUUGAUUCAUAACAUGUAUACUUGGAUUUACUCUGGUUUAUAUUCCACUGCGAUUGUUGAGGUUUAUAUACAUGUUUAUUGGUUUUUGAAUUUUGAAUGUGGCGUAGCCUCUAUUUCUUGAAUAAAUGUAUUAUUCGAAUGUUUAAUUGCUUUAAUAGAAAUAGGAGCGUUAAAAGUUGGUAUCAGAGCCUGGUUAGUCUUGUCUAGACUAAUGCUUGUUGUUUUUCCCUGUUAUGUGCGAAUGGUAGUUUAGUACCUUCGACAGUUGCUUUGUUGUGUUGUUUUCUUAUCGGUUAGUGGUUUGUGUUAGUCUGGCAAGGGAAUGUAUCUUUGGCUGCGGAGGCUCUUUUGGUUGUGUUUUGUGUUAAGGUUCAUGUUGAUUUUGAGUUGGAUCUUGUCUGUCUUCCGUUGAAGCAUAUGGAUGUGAUUUUUGGUAUGGAUUGGAUGUUGUCUUUUGGUGUAUUCAAAAUCUGAGGAAGAGCAUGCUGAGCAUUUGAGGAUUGUGUUGCAAGUCUUGGAAGAGAACCAGUUAUGUGCUAAGUUAUCUAAGUGUGAGUUUUGGUUGAAGGGAGUGAGCUUCCUUGGUCACGUGAUUUCUAAGGGUGGUAUUUCUGUGGAUCCGUCUAAGGUUGAUGCAGUGUUGCAGUGGGAAUCUCCUAAGUCUGUUUUUGAGAUUAUAAGUUUUCUUGGAUUGGCGGGUUACUAUCAGAGGUUCAUUGAGGGAUUCUCUAAGUUGGCGUUGCCAUUGAAGCAGUUGACUCGGAAAGGACAAGCUUAUGUUUGGGAUGCCAAGUGUGAGAAAAGUUUCCAAGAGUUGAAGAAGAGGUUGAUUUCAGCUCUAGUGUUGAUUUUGCCGAAUCCAAAGGAAUCGUUUGUUGUGUAUUGUGAAGCUUCUAAGAUGGGACUUGGUGGUGUGCUUAUGCAGAAUCGUCAGGUUGUGGCUUAUGCUUCGAGGCAGUUGAAAGUACAUGAGAAGAAUUAUCCGACUCAUGAUUUGGAAUUGGCGGCCAUUGUGUAUGCAUUGAAGAUUUGGAGGCACUAUCUGUAUGGUUCUAAGUUUGAGGUGUUCAGUGACCACAAGAGUUUGAAGUAUCUGUUUGAUGAGGAAGAGUUGAAUAUGAGGCAAAGAAGAUGGUUGGAAUAUCUUAAGGAUUUUGAUUUUCAGUUGAGUUAUCAUCCCGGGAAGGCUAAUGUUGUUGCGGAUGCUUUGAGUAGAAAGACUUUGCAUAUGUCUGCUUUGAUGGUUAAAGAGUUGGAAUUGAUUGAGCAGUUUCGAGACUUGAGUUUGGUUAGUGAGUUGACACCGGAUGGUGUGAGGUUGGGUAUGUUGAAGUUGACAAGCAAUAUUUUGGAAGAGAUCAAGAAUGGUCAGAAGGAAGAUUUGGAACUCGUGGACCGAGUGACGUUGGUUAACCAAGGUAAAGGUGGAGACUUUAGAUUGGACGAGAAUGAUGUUUUGAUGUUUCGUGAUCGAGUUUGUGUGCCGGAUGUUCUUGACCUUAAGCGGCAGAUUUUGGACGAAGGUCAUAGAAGUAGUUUGAGUAUUCAUCCAGGAGCAACUAAGAUGUAUCAGGAUUUAAAGAGAUUGUUUUGGUGGCCUGGAAUGAAGAAGGAAAUUGCUGAGUUUGUUUAUGCUUGUUUGGUUUGUCAGAAAUCAAUGAUUGAACAUCAGAGACCGUCGGGUUUGAUGCAACCGUUGUUUGUGCCAGAGUGGACGUGGGAUAGCAUUUCUAUGGACUUUGUUGGGGCGUUACCUAAGACUAGUAAGAGUUUUGAUACGAUUUGGGUGAUUGUUGAUCGGUUGACGAAGUCAACGCAUUUUGUUCCUAUUAAGACUAGUAUGUCUAUAGCGAGGUUGGCUGAGAUCUACAUUGAGCAGAUUGUGAGGUUGCAUGGUAUUCCUUCUAGUAUUGUGUCGGAUCGGGAUCCGAGGUUUACUUCUAAUUUUUGGGAGAGUUUGCAAGCUGCUUUGGGAACUAAGUUGAGUUUGAGUUCUGCUUACCAUCCUCAGACCGAUGGGCAGACAGAGAGGACUAUUCAGAGUUUGGAAGAUUUGUUGAGAGCUUGUGUUUUGGAGCAAGGUGUCAGUUGGGACGAAUGUUUACCAUUGAUUGAGUUUACUUACAACAACAGUUUUCAUUCUAGUAUCCGAAUGGCACCGUUUGAGGCUUUGUAUGGUCGGAGGUGUAGGACACCGUUGUGUUGGUUUGAGUCCGGAGAGAGUGCUAUGUUAGCACCGGAAGUUGUGCAAGAGACUACGGAAAAGGUUAAGAUGAUUCAAGAAAAGAUGAAGGCGUCUCAGAGUACAUAGAAGAGUUAUCAUGAUAAGAGGAGAAAGGAUAUUGAGUUUCAAGUUGGUGAUCAUGUGUUUUUGUGGGUGAAUCCUGUGACCGGUGUUGGUCAUGCUUUGAAGUGUAGGAAGUUGACUCCUCGUUUUGUUGGACCGUUUGAUGUCAUUGAGAAGGUUGGGGUUGUAGCGUAUCGGAUUGCGUUACCACCGUCUUUGUCGAAUCUUCAUAAUGUGUUUCAUGUGCCUAAGUUGAGGAAGUAUGUGCAUGAUGCGUCUCAUGUGAUUCGAGUGGAUGAUUUGGAAGUAAGAGAUAAUUUGACGGUUGAGACUUGGCCGGUUAGGAUUGAGGAUCGUGAGUUGAAGCGUUUGCGUGGCAAAGAGAUUGUUUUGGUCAAAGUGAUUUGGGUUGGACCAACUGGUGAGAGUGCCACUUGGGAACCGGAGAGUGGGAUGAUGGUUUCGUACCGGAGUUGUUUCCUUCAGGUAAUUUUCGAGGGCGAAAAUUCUUUUAGGGGGGGAGAGGUGUAACAGCCCAAUAUUUCGCUAGAUUUAUUUUAAUUACUUUUAUUAUGUGUUUUAUGUGUGAUUAAUCACCAGUGGGUGCAUUUUCAUGGAUUUCCGUAAUAGAAGGGUAUUUUGGUCAUUUGGCGGGUAAGGGUAAAAUGGUAAUUUUGGUGAGAAUUUUUUUUAAUAUUUAGUGAGAACCCUUAUUUUACUAAGUUACUAGUGUAGUGAUUAGUUUUUACCGUUUAGUGACCGUUGGUUAUGUUUUACCGUUGUUAGUAAUUACCGUUGAGUGUAUAAAAACUUUUUAGAAUUGUGUUAGAAUGGGUUAAGCCCACUAGGGUCUAGAAUUGAGCCCAAUUGAGUUGUAGCAUACCUAAACCUAAACUUGGAGAGAAAUUCAUUCAUUCAUUUCAUUUCACAAAGUUAGAGAGAGAGAAAGUGAGUGAAAGGAAGAACAAGGGUUAGCAAAGGGGGAAAACUUAAAGAUUGGAGAAUUAGAAGCUAAAGUGAAGCUUAAGUUUGGAUUAAUCAUAACCUAAGGUAAGGGGGUUAGUCUUCAUCAUAAUCAUAAUUGUUUGUUUGCAAUUUUUCUUGGUUUGUAUGAAAAAGUGCUUAAUUGAGUGAGAAUUCAUAUGAACCCAAUCUCUAAUUUUCGUGCUCUUGUUUUGGUGAUAAGUUUGAGUAUGUUAACUGAAUGAUAAAUGAAUUGUUGGUGAUGAAAUAACAUGUUCAUAAUGUAUGAAAAUGGGUUGUUGUGAAAUUAUGCUUAAUUGAUGACUUAUGACAUGUUAUUGUUGAAUUGGGGUGUGAAUCAAGUUUCAAUUGAUGUUGUUGUUGAUAUGUCAUGUUGUUGAUGAUAAUCCAUGGCUUGGGUUUGCAUGAUUCAUGAUUGUUGUGGAGAAAUGAGUUGUUGGUGGUGGUUUUGUAAAAUGAGUUGAAAAAGAAGAAGUUUGAUUUUGAUGAUGUUGAAUGAGAUAAGGAAGUUGUUAUAAUGAAUUAGGAUGGUAUGAUUUUCUGUUUUAAUCACUUGGUUUUGGACAGAAAUCGUUUUGGGAAGAAAACGGGUUUUUGACUAAAAGUGGUUUUUAAGUGCUUUUGCAAAAUAAGCCAUUUUAGGAUGAGUUUGAUUAAGUUGUUUUAAUGUUUAAAUGUCAAGUUUUCAACUGUGGUAUGUAUGGUCUAAGUGUUAGGAAUGCAUUGGCGAAAACGGAACUGAAAUCGGAUUCGAAAACAAGAUUUUAUGCGCAAAAACGUAAAAAUGCAUUUUGUUGUACUGGUAAGGUGACACGACCGUGCGUCUAGAUGGCACGACCGUGUCAGUUUCUCCUGUAAAGGGAGCACGACCGUGCGUCCUGAUCACACGACCGUGCUAGUUCUGCAGAAUUCUGAAACCUCGUUUUUUUGUGUUUUUGUGUACUUUUAAGCAUGCCAAUGGAUUCCAAACACCUAACCUUAUUCAAUCAAUUUAUAAUUAAGCUUCUAAGAGUAUCAUAGCUUGAUUCUAACUUGGUUUUGUUUUGAUAAUGAAUUCGUUUUGCAAUAUGGAAGAAAUGAUAUGAACUUGUCGUAAUUUGGUAAUUUUGAUGAUUUUGUCGAAAUGAACUUUUGUGAACUAAAUAGGAUUACAAGUUAAACCUACAGCUCUUAUAGACUUAGGUAAGACUUGUAUGGUUGGUCAAACAUCUUAAUCAUGUCAAAAAUGAUAUUUCGGGUGGGAAUGUGAAAGAUUGUGAAAUUGGGUUUUCUCAUAAGAACUUAAGUUAUUCUUUGAACUAAUGUCUAAUAGUUUGUAAAUGGCUUAAGCUCAUGACUACAUGAUUGAUUAAGAUUGUUUGAGAGCUUUUAACAUGUCUAAGUUGCUUUGUCUUGGAAUUUAUCAAUGUUGGUCGUUUGCCACUUGAUACGGUUUUUGUCGAAAAUGUUUUCUUUGAACUAAUUUUCUUAUAAUCUAUCGUGACUAUCCUUAUAUGACUAAGUGAAGAUGUGUGAAUGAAUGAUUGUAUUGGAUAUGAUGUUUAUCAUGAGAUGUGUAUGCUAUCUUACUUAGAAUGUAAGGAAUGCUUGAAUGGUGAAACUAUAUGUGAUAGUUGAUGUUGAAUGAUUGUAUUGGAUAUGAUGUUUAUCAUGAGAUGUGUAUGCUAUCUUACUUAGAAUGUAAGGAAUGCUUGAAUGGUGAAACUAUAUGUGAUAGUUGAUGUUGAAUGAUUAUAUGUUGUGUCAUACCCCAAAUUUGGACCAUUUAAAAUCUUUUUUGUCCAUAUUUUGAAAUAGUCUACAUUCUCUUUUAUUCGUUUUUUUUACCAUUUAAAACUUGUGUUUUUUGUCUUUAAUCAUUUAAAAACUUUUAUCUUGCAUUUAAGUCCCUGCAUGCAUUUUUACAACAGUUAAAAUCACUCCAUCUGCAUUAAACGCAUUUUAUAGUCUUUUUAGUCAUAACAGUCAAGUCAUUUUAUAACACAUUUUAUAGUGUUUUUAGUCAUAACAGUCAAAGGUCUAAUCGUAUUUUAAAAAAAUCGCGUCUUUUUAAUCAUUUCAAACGAAAUUUCAACAGGGAGGUUACUUGGGAGUACCUCAUUUUGGCUUCCGGAAGAGACAAUUUUUAAUUUUAUUAAUUCAUUUUCUCCAUCUUUAUUAUUAUCUUUAUCCUUGAUUCUCAUAAUUUAAUUUCCGCUUUUAUUUUUUCAUCAUUUGAUUUUAACUUCCUUCUUUUCUUUGAAUGUCAUGUUUAUCAUUUUCAUUACAAGUAUUUCCUUUUAACUUUUUUUAUUGAUUUUUCUUAAGUCUUUAGUUUCAGUCAUGUCCAGGUGUCCAAAACCUAUUGGUCCUUUAAUCCAAAACCCUAGUUUUUAGCAGUAUAAAUAGCUGCAAUUACUGCUACAGGAAGAAGGAGUCAGAAAAACGCGUCAGAGACAGAAAACGGGUCAGAUUGGUCCCUAUCACAUACAAACACCUUUUCCCUUUCUCUCUCAUCUAGUUACAGAUCAAAACACCACCAAAUGAUGAACGCUUCAUGAAUCCUCAUGAACAUUCAUGAACACAAUCACAGAAAUCACAUAAACAACAACAAUUUUCCUUUGAUUCACAUAUUUCGAAUUUCAACAGAAACAACACUAAUCAUCAUCAUCGAUUCCAACACACAAAUCCAACUCAAACCGAACCGGAUCUAAGCAAAACGAACCGAACCGGAGCAAAAGGAAAGCAGAUCGGACUAGAUUCGAACUGGAUCGGAGGAAUUUAGCAAGAAGGAAGUGAAUCCGAGCUUAAAGUAGUAGAUCCGGUCUUCUCCGUUUUGAAACCGAAGGUAAUUUCACUCAAACUUUCUUUGCUAGAUCUAGCUCAAAUCUCUCUACCCUUUUUAAAACUAACACCGGAUUUGUAUAGAGGAGAAGGAGAAGAAGCUUUUGAUGUAAAAAAAUUUCAAAAAAAAAUAAAAAAAAGCUCCGACGCGGCGGCGCUAUGGCUGACCACCGCGCCGAAGCAGCUCCGACCACCCCUCCUCAUCUUCUCCGGUGACGUUUUUUUAGAGAGAAGGGAGAGCUUCUCUCUCUAAGUUUAACUUAGAGAGAGAAGGUUUGUUUGAUUUAUGUUGUUUUUUUUUGUGAAACCACUUUAUAUAGCCUCAUCAUUUUAUUUUAAUUCCAUGUGUGUUGUUCCAUCGUAUUAUCGUGUAUGAUUAUAGCUAGGCCGUCAGAUCGUAGAUCUAACGGCCGAUGAUGCAUCUCGUAUGUGGUUGAGUGUUUGUUUCUUUUGUGUGGAAUACUGCGUGCCUGCUGUUGAACCGUCAGAUCAUUGAUCUGACGGUCACUGUGCUUCCAGUAUAUCCUUCCUUUUUUCUGUUUAUUUUUAAAACCGUUGGAUCUUAGAUCAUAUGGCUGUGAUGAGAUCUUGGGAUUCAGAUCUGGACCUCUGGAUUCAUCCAACGGUCCAGAUUAGAUCCUGCUGAGCCAAUAUUUUUUUUAUUUCUUAGUUUUAAUUGUCUUUAUUUUUAAAUACUGUUUUUUUACAUUUUUUUGACAUUUUUGUGUUUAGCAAAAUUCCAAAAAAUAUUGUUCUCACCAUUUUAAUUUUCUCUAAUUUUAAAAAUCCAUCCUAUUUGUUUUCUUUUGAAUUUUUUUUGUUUAUUUCUUAUAUGAUGAUCUUAAUUGUUGCUUGUCUUAAUUACUUGCUUUUUAUUACUUAUGUCUCAUUCACCAUGAUAUUUCUUAUGUUACUAACGAUUUAAUUUUUGUCUUGAAUCAUAGCAUGCACAUUUAAUUUUCUCAUCAUUUUGUUUUGUCAUUGAUUUAGUGUGUAUAAAUAGGGAAUUGAUGUAAUUUUAUUUCUUGCAUUUUUAUUUUGGCAUUUAAAAAUUGAGAGUUCAAAGAUUGACGAUUUAAACCAAUUAAUGGUUUGAUAUCCGAAAAUCAGGGAGCACAUGUUGGAUAUGAUAUUUGUCAUGAUAUGUUGUAUGUUCUCUUACUUGGAAUAUGAGAAUUGUUUGAAAUGGUGAAACUAUAUGUGAUAGUUGAUGUUGAAUAAAAUUGUUGAUUUUUGAUAAUCAUGUUGAGGUGUGAUGGUGAAUACUAUGAUUUAAUUGUGUAUGAGCAUGUUUUCUUGAUAAUGCAAUGAUGUGGAGAUGAACAUUAUAAUUGGGUGUCGUCCUAUAUAUUGUGGAGAAAAUUGUGUUUGUCGUCGCAUUAUCGAGUUCUUAUACAUGUCCAUGCAUCAUAGUCGUGUUGAGAUACGAUGUUUUAUUCGUUAUAGGGCUUCGGCCUGGCAGAGAUCUUUUGAGAUCUAGUUUUGGACUUCGGUCUGGCAGAGAUCUUUUGAGAUCUGGAUACGAUGUUUUAUUCGUUAUAGGGCUUCGGCCUGGCAGAGAUCUUUUGAGAUCUGGAUAUGGGUGACGACCUUUUGGAGAUUUGGUACCACAUGCAUUUAUGUGUCAAUAAGUGCAUAUCAUGACAUGCGUCAUAUUUGAAAAUGUGAUUGGUGAUUGGUGAUUAUGUGUGAAUAAUUGUGAAUUGAUGUUUGACACAUGUGAUUGAUGAUUGUCCAUGAAAUGUGAUUAAUGAAUGUUCAUGGAAUAUGACUGGUGAUUGUUCAUGAAAUGUGAUUGGUGAUUGUUCAUGAUGUAUAUGAUUGGUGAUUGUGUAUGAAUAACUGUGAAUUGAUAUUUGUUCAUGACACAUGUGAUUGAUGAUUAUUGAUGUGAGAUAUUGGGGUUUUGAUGUAAGUAUAUAUAUGAGAAUAUUAUUAUUGAUCAAAUGCAUGAUGUUAAUUAAAAUAUUCAUGUUAACUGUUAUUUGGAUUAUGAUAAUGUAAUACUUACCCCCAGUGGAUCUGUUAUGGACCGCCUGCAUAUCUGUAUGGAUGGGUAGACGUUGUGCAGGUUUAGUUGCUUGGUGAGUAUUGUGCUUGGUGGAUAUCGGGAGCUUUCUCCGAUAUCGGUGUUUAAAUGUUUAGUCGGCUCUGAUCUAGGCUUCGUUGUAUCGGUCUAGAUUAGUUUCUUUUGGAUUUUGUUUUGUUGGAGAUUGCCCGUUUGUUUGGGAUUUUUGAGAUGCAUCUAUGUUGAUGUAAUUUAUUGAUUCAUAACAUGUAUACUUGGAUUUACUCUGGUUUAUAUUCCGCUGCGAUUGUUGAGGUUUAUAUACAUGUUUAUUGGUUUUUGAGUUUUGAAUGUGGCGUAGCCUCUAUUUCAUGAAUAAAUGUAUUAUUCGCAUGUUUAAUUGCUUUAAUAGAAAUAGGAGCGUUACACCACACUCCAUAACUACUUUUGCUGCUUUUGCUUAGAUUUAAGCUACUCUGUUUUAGUUUACUUGGGGAACAUUCUAGUGAUUGCUUAGAUUUUAAGUCGAAUGUAAACUAUAAAUAGAGUAGCUAGCCAUCACAAAUAUUCAUCUUUUGUUCUCUGAAAUAAUAAGUGACAAUUGUUUCUUUGAAUAAAAGUUCACCUUUACUUUCUUGUCAUUUACUUUUAUGCUUUCUCUCUUCUUCUCCAUGUAGACUUCUCUUUGUCUUGGGAUUGUUGGAUAAGUCUAAAUGACAUAAUCCUAAUCAAACCAAACUUUAAACCUUAAUCUUAUGUAACCCUAAUCUCUAAUCUAAAUUCACCGUUUUAACAUGAAUUAACCAUUAUCAAACUGUGGAAACGAAAGUGGAGGGUUUGAUAAUUGUUAAUCCAUCAUCUCAAAUAUCAAUUCAUAAAACGAAAGUGGAGCUUUGAUAUUCGAACAAGUGAAUUUAGACAAAGAUUGUAAAGGCGGCGAAAUAGUCUUUACAAUCUUUGAGACAUAUAGUUUCGAACUUCAAGGAUUCUAAAUUGUGAUCAAGUCAGCGAAAUAGGCUUGGUUGCUAGAGGAACAAAAGAGAAAUUGUCUUUAGAAGUUAGGUCUAACAUAAGAGAAAUAGGCUUGUCAAUUAGAUGAACCAAUAAUCCCAAGGCACCUCUUUUAUUUUAUUUUCUUUUAAUUAUACAAAAAUACAACCUUCUACUUUCUAUUCUUUUAAUCUAACCAUUAUUUAAAAUUAAUUGAAUUCAUAACUCCCUGUCGAAACGAUACUCUAUUUUUAUUACUACUUCGGUAAGACCGUGCACUUGCGGUUUUAUCUCAUCAAGUUUUUGGCGCCGCUGCCGGGGAGUUAUUGUAAUUUGAUUAACUUUUUAAUAGUGGUUAGUCUAAAAUAUAUAUAAGUAAAUAAAAUAUAUAUAAAAUAUAUAUAUUUUAUUUCUUUUUCUUAUCUCUUUAUUUAUUUUUUUAUUUAUAUAUAUAUAUAUAUAUAUAUAUAUAUAUAUAUAUAAUAUCUCUCUCUCUCUCUCCCUUUCACCUUAUUUUAUUAUUUUUUUUAUUUUAUUUUUAUUUUUUUAUUAUUUUUUAUUUUCUAUCUUUAACCUUUUUGAUUUCAGGCAUGGCUCAAAGAAGAUAAUAACGAUAUGGAUGAGAAACGUGCUCUCAAAGAGUAUGCAAUCACAUCUUCAGAUGAGCCAUACGAUGCUAUUGUGUACCCAACGGUUGAGGGUAUUAAAUUUGAAAUAAAGCCUGCACUUAUUUAUCUAGUGCAGCAAAAUCAAUUUUUCGGAUCACCCACUGAGGAUCCGAAUCUUCAUGUUUCAAUAUUUUAAGACUCAGUGGAACAUUGGAGGCAAACCAAGAGGUCGUAAGGAUGCACCUCUUUUCUUUUUCCUUAAGGUAUAGAGCUAGUGCUUGGUUUCAUUCAUUGACAAUUGGUUCUAUCACUUCAUGGGACCAAAUGAGGCGAGCUUUCCUUGCCCAAUUCUUUCCCUUUCUCAAACCGCUCAAUUAAGGGUGAGGCAUUUUCAAUACACUCAAAAAGAUGGUGAAUCUAUUUACGAUGCGUGAGAGCGUUUCAAAGAAAUGCUUAGGCUUUGCCCCAUCAUGGUUUAGAGAAGUGGCUUAUUAUCCACACCUUUUAUAAUGGUCUGUUGUAUACCACAAAAAUUUAUGUUGAUGCAGCUGCAAGUGGAGCUUUGAUGAAUAAAACUUACACAGCAGCAUAUGAUUUGAUCGAGGGCAUGGCACAAAACUACUAUCAGUGGACAAGUGAGAGAGUCAUCAAUGCUUCUUCACCCUCUAAAAAAGAGGCAGAUAUGUACGAAAUUUCCUUCCUUGAUCAUCUAACUGCUAAGGUUGACGCACUAACACAAAAAUUUGAUACAAUGAAUACUAGUGCUGUCACACCUGCCCCUGUAUCACCUCCUUGUGAAGUUUGUGGUGUAUUUGGCCAUAUUGGCAUUGAUUUCCAACUAGGUAGUGUUGUUAGAGGUCCUGAGCAAGUAAAUUAUGCUCAAUAUAAUCUAGGGUUUAGAAGCAACCAAUUUUGUUAUCAAACCCCUCAAAAUCUUUUUGGACAACAAACAACACCACCCAGUUAUGAAAACAACCAAAGAGUCCCUCAAAAAUCCAGCUUGGAACUUUUAAUGGAAAAUUAUGUUAUAAUCAAUCCAAGCAACUCCAAGAGCUUAAAAACCAAACUAGAUUUUUGAAUGACUCUCUUGCCAAAAUCACAUCCAAGGUAGACUCCAUAGCACCUCACAAUAAGAUACUUGAAACCCAAAUCUCUCAAGUGGCCCAACACGUGACUGCUACCUCUCAAACCACCGGGAUCUUUCCAGGUCAAACUGGAACCAACCCCAAAGGCCAUAUAAGUUCUAUUACUCUUAGGGAUGGUAACCAAUUAGAGGACCCCGUUGUGAAAAUUAAGAACAAUGAGGGAGAUAUAGGAAGUGAUGAGCCUCAAAGUGAGAAAACUAUAGGAGAGAACGCAAAGCCAUUUGUUUCACCACCUCAUGAGCCUAAAAAUCCAUUAACACAAGGUUUUGUCAAAUCCAAGUUAGAUGACCAGUUUAGAAUUUUUAUUGAAAUACUUCCAAACAAAUUGCCAUCUAAACUUAAGAAUCCAGAAAGUUUUCCUAUACCUUGUGUCAUAGGAUCCGAAAGCAUUGAGAAAGUCAUGUGUGAUUUGGGAGAGAAUGCCAGGUUGAUGCCAUUAUCCCUUUGGGAAAGAUUGGGUAUAGGGUAGAGAACCUCUUGAUUGUCAAGCUAAUGACUCUAAACGAGCGCUUCGUGGGAGGCAACCCAUGAGUUUUAUUGCUUUUACUUUGUUUGUUUUGUGUUAUUUUAAUUUAUUUUGUAGGUAUUUGUCCAAAUAUGAUGCAAAAAAGUGAAAGAAAUUUGAAGCUGUUGACCAGAAACCAAACCCACCCAAAAAAAAAAAUCUUCACUCUUUUUCCCAGAGAGUUGGCACGGCCCGUGCCUGUGGUAGCAUGGCCGUGCCAACCCAUCAGCCAAAACAAAAUAAUUGUUUUUUUCCCUUAUUCAACCAAAAUAACCUCUUUCAUCCUUCCUCCAUAAACUUCACCAACAUUCAUCCACCCAAAGCUAAACCAAGUCAACUAGGUUAAUGGCAUCAAAGAGGAAAAGUGAGGAGAUUGAAGCCUCCGAAAGUGGUGCAAGCAAGAAGCAAUCAACAACCCGAAUAAUGGGAUCCAAUUCAAGAAUUCCGAGCUAAGAAAUAGGUAUAAAUCUCUAGAACUAUCUCUCCUUCACAACAACAUUUCCAUCGUAUGAGGACGCUAAAAAACUGUUCUGUAAUGUGAAAAAACUGUUUCCGUAGAAUACCUGAACGGUUUUCAGGUCGUGGCAGACCGAGGCGUUGUCUUAUCCUACCGAGACGGUUUUUUCCACAAACAGCAACGACAUAGAUAAAUCCGUAGUCUUAGAUACCCUUUCACAACCUCGACGGUUUUAAGUCGUCACCAACGAAAAAUCCGUUGCAAUUGGUUCAUAUUAAGAACAGUAUUUUUGGUGUUAUCCAAACGGUUUUGGAUUGAUGUUAUUCCUGAAACCGUUCUCUAAAGCCCAGUUUUAAAUAUCUAUUGUAAGCUAUCGCAACGGUUUUUCACCGUUGUGAAUACAUUUUUAUUUUUUUAAAAUAUAAUUUGCAUUAAAUUAUAUUAUUAUUACACUUACUCUAUUCGUCAAAAAUAAAACUUUAUUAUUUGACUUAGAGAUCAAUAACUUCAGUAACAUAUUAUACAUCCAAAAUUCUAAUAUAAUCCUAAAUUCAAAAUUACAUACCAACUACUUGUCAAUAAUAUAUCAUUCAUAUAUGUAUCAAAAUAACAUUGAUCACAAUAAAGUAUUCGAAUAUUUAAUUGGGUAUUGUUAACUCAAAAUGUCAAUUAUCAUUUUCACAAUCCAAAUAACGUACACUUGAACAUAAACAUCUGUCUUCAUCUCUUGUACUUCUAAAUCUUGAAAUUCUUCAUCGAUAUCAUCAUUAGCCAUUCAUCUACAAAAUAAAAGAAAUAUGUUCAAUAAUUAAUUAAACUAUAUAUGUCAAACACUGAGGUAGUAAUUUCAAAGCCACUCCCUUCCAAAGAGACACAACAAUAGAGUAUACUAAACUAUAUAUUUUAGACAUUUGUUAUCCUUCUUCUCAUAUGAGAAUACUAAACUAGUAGGUUUCUCUACUCUAACACCAACACACACUAACACAAAAUUGAUAUUGCAUCACAACUUCUCCAUUUCACACAUUAUUAAGUUUCACUCAUACCAUCAACAUAACUAUAUUGCACUCCAUACUAUAGUGGAGAUAUGAGUCUUACAACCACCAAUAAAAGAAUCUUAAGAAUUAAGAGUAAAAGACCAAUUUCCUAUUUCGGAACUAUACUUCUGCAAACCACCUGUCAGCUACAACAAAUCAUAGACACUCACAGAGGAAAAAAACUUAGUCUUCUUAAAUUAGAGGGUUUUUUUACAUUGUUGCAAUUAUACAAAAGGUAGAAGCAGACCGUAUAGUGUUUUUGCUCUACACCAUAAUAUCCAAAAAAAUAUCAACUAUUAAUAGUGCCAGCAGUGGAAGCAUGAGCCUUAUAAUCCCUAAUUUUAUGUGAUUAUCUUAACUUUCUAACAUACAUGUAACUGUUCGAAUUAAAAGACAUUAAAUGCAACCAACAAUACCAAGAUCACAACAUCAACAAUAUGUAAUUCUAUAUCAAAGUAAUUGAAAAUUUACCUGGACUGGUUUUCAAAAGUUGUCUAUUGUUAUAAACCAUAAGCCUUGCUCCAACUUACUAGUAUGUAGGUCCUGAUCAGAUAGUAAAAGCUUUUCUUUUAUUUGUUCAAUAACCUUUCCUGAAAUCAUGAACUAGAGAAAGUCAAAUACUUCUCAAUCAUAUAUCUAUCAAAAUAACAUACUUUAAAAUAAAAGACUUGUCUUUAAUGUACAGUAUACCCUAAGACAUGAUAUAUGGAGAAGAAAUAAUUAAGACAUACUAAAGUACUUAUAACUAAGAGUAAGCACACAAAUCACUACGUCUUCUGAAGUAUGGGUACUUGUAAAAUGGUGAAGUACCCGUAUCGGGUACACACCCGUACCAGGUACGCGUAUGGUUAUCGUGGUACUCCAUUUUUACUAAUUAUUAUACUGUGAGUGUUAUUUGUGCAUUUGAGUUUCUUUGUUGUUGUAACCAACUCUAAAUUUCGAAUUUUUAAACUUCUAAUGUGAUUUUCUUGUUAUGAAUUGAAGAAUUUAACUCCUUCAUGUUAUAUUCUAUGACAAAACUUAUGAUUUUAUUGACGUACUCGUCCCUUACUUUUUCUAAAAUUGUCGUAUUCGCGUACCAAGUAUCGUACCUGUACCUAUGCAACAUAGACUAUGUCCAAUACUCCAACAUCCUUCGCCAAAAACCAUAUAUCAAUCACAAGCUUGUACUUGACCCAACACAAAUACAAUACAUAUAAACAAAAAGAGAAGGUUAAUUACAUGACUCAACAACAAGUUAUAUGGGGAAAAAAACAUAUAAACCUAGUUCUUUGGCCAUUGUCAAUCACAAAAUUGUUGAUCUUUUAAAGAGCUAAUAAAGUGCAUCAAUUCAAUUGUCUUUGAUUUUAUACAGAAGCAAAACAAAUACGUCACUAAGACACAAACAUGAACAAAUCUGCUCUUCAACACAAUUAAACUAACUCAAGUGAAUCUGUUACUAUUAAUGAGUAUAUCUAGGGCUAGGCUAUUAUAGUUGAUUAGAGAAUCAAGAUUCAUAAAAAAUUUACACCAACUUAACUGAUUUUGAUACUACUAACUCUCUUACAAGAGGAAUUAGAAAUAUGGUGUGAAAUAUUUUAUUAAUCAUAGUUUUAUUGAUAAACAAUGAUAAACAAGGAGAUAGUGCUUGAAAUUAAUUGGCUCUUGUCCAAACUAGCUCCUAUACUCAGAAGCUAAGGGAAAGUAAUGUGUGGCCUUGAUUGGAAAUGGCUAGGCCGAAACGAGUAGUGUUGAAUCUGUGGUCAUGGGGAAAUUAAUUUGAUUCCUCAAACAAAUCAAACCAUUCUCUGGUUGCAACAAAACCCAACUCCCCCAUUUACCAGCUAAUAAAAAUAAAAUUACAAAGUUUAAACUAUAUAAAUACCUUCUUAAAGAGAUCAAACUACUCUUGACUGUCCGCAAAAUCUAAUUUCAUCCCAUCAACGCCAUUGAAUCAGCUAGUAGUCUCAAUCUUCUCACUUUAGCAGCAGCUCUUCAAGUUUAUAAACUAAUGAACCACUACAGUAAUUAGGUGGUUAAUUAAUAAUGUAAAAACCAAAGAAUGGUGCCAGUUGUUAAAUCAAUUAAUCACUUUAUAGAUCAAUUAUAGAAUUUGUUCAACCACGGAUACUUGUCUUGAAAAUUUUAUACGUAUACACACAUGAAUGUGCUAGUUUCUACACACUUUAUGUAGCUUUAGCUAACUAUAUGUGGAAGUGUAAUAGGAAAUGUUCACAUAUAUAAAGUUUAUCAUACAAAGUUCUAGCAUAUAAAACCUCCAAUCUGAACAGUUGCAAAAUUCUACACUAGAUUAUCAUAGAAAGUUUCUAGCUUCCUCUCAACUUCAAAUGGUGGAAAGUAUUGACGAACAACUUUUAAGAAAGGGAAGUAACUUUCAUUUUCUAAGCAUAUGAACACUAUUCUAUGAAGCACGGACACUCAUUGGAUUAGGCAUGUUAGUGUCUGUGUCAUGUGCAGUAUCCAUGUCUAUAUCCGUGCUUCAUAGACACUAGUUCAAUCACAACUCUGUUUUAGAGAAGGUAAUUAAGCUUCCUAGUUUUAUAAAUAGUUGAAUAAUUUAGUAACUUGUGAUUACCCAUGUUAUUCAACUACUUUGUCUAUUAACAAAUUCAAGUCAUUACUAGUUAAGUGAGAUAAAUGUGCACAAGGAAAAAGCCUAAAUUUUAAGUGAGAUAAAAAUUGAUAAAAAAAAUUGUGCACAAGUAACUAGCUUUACACAAUUAAAAGGCCAUCGAUUACAACAUGGUUAAUGAAUAUUGAAAAAAAUUGAUACUUUAAAAAUUCAAAGCCAUCGUACAAUCACAAUUCACAAUGUUUUUCUAUCAAUAGACAAUACAAAACAAACAACAACAUUAGAGAAGGAGAAUUUGUUUAACAUUUAAGCAAAAAGAAAAAACCUAACAAUCUAUAUUGAACAGAGGCAAUUAAAGCAAUAAUCACAGCAACAAAUAUUCCUUUGUGGAUCCGUUACGUUCGUCAAUCACAGCAAACGUCGUCGUCGCCGCAACGGCCUUCAGAGAUUGUUUGAACAAGAUGCGGGCUCUGAAAUUUUGAAACAACAUAGAUUUCCCAAAGGAUUCGUAGAAUUUUCGGAAGAGGUGUGAGAUUAUUCGAGGGUAGAAUCGAAGAAGUAAGAAAGGGGAUUUUCAGGGUUCUGGGAACCGUGAAAGAUGGUUGGAGAUUUUCAAAAGAACUGAAUUCCAUGUUUGAGGAUUGGAAUUCGAAAGCUUCAGGGAUUGAGUGGUUCACCUGGGCAAAGAAGGUUUUUCGUUUUGAGAUUGAAUUACUUUAUUUUUUUAUUGAUUUUUUUUUUUCAAGAAGUUUCUUUGUUAUUAUUUGAACUGGAAGGGGAAAAUUUUGUUUCAUAUUGCUCGAUCUAUUCUAGUUUAUUUUACCAUAAUUUUUAUUAAAAUAAUUAAGAAGUAUAUCAAAACGAUUAUUAUUUGUUUACAAAAAUAACCUACAAAAAUCCGUUCUCCUUCCAUAUUCCACAACGAUUUUGAGGGGUGGCAUACAAAUUGAAAAAAGUCCAUAUGUUACCAAAACAGAAUACAAUAACCGUUGUAUUUAAUACUCUACCAGAACAAUUUUUUUACCUAAGAAAAAUUAGGCGUUCUCGUAGAGUCAAAAUGUUGUAGUGCUCGCAGGUACCUUGAUGUUAAUGCUAUGGAUAGACUAGAAAUAGAUGAACAUGUGAUUAGGCUGUUGAAUAAAUUCACAACCCUGUGCUUAGGUACCUUCACAUGGUUAUGGCUUGCACCAUAUGGGGUAGAAAAAAAGGUAGGACUGAUGAGGAUUGUUGAGCUGUUUAUGUUGUGGGUUAUGCUUUAUAACCACCAUGUUAACAUUUGCUAUUAUUUGAUUUAUUAUCUAGUUUCAAUCACUAGAAAGAAACCGGAUAUAAAGGUGAUAUAGUGGUAGGUGGAAUCAUCACUUUCAUUGUUAGAAAAUUUGAGGUAAAUGUGAACAAAGGGAUAAAUAGGAUUGAGGGAAACUACUAUCUUUACUUAGAAACCCUCACUACCAUGUUUUUUUCAAGAAUCCAUGGCCCUUCUCACAAUUACCAAUAUGAGUGGAGAGUAAAUAAUGUUAUUUCUUGAUUAUUCUACCUAAUUCAGAUAUUACUAAUCCGGAGAUGGUAGAAAAUUUUUAUGUUGGCACUAACCCACAGGUACAAAAUGAUGGUAAUGAUGGUGGUGAUGAAGAGGAGGUAGGUGCAAACUUGCACCAUUAACAAGAAGCCGGUGGAAACCAUAAUGAUGAACGGUGGGCAUGGAUGCAAACCAAAGUUCAAAGAAUAUGUACCGAGCAAUAAAGACAAGGUGUUGAAAUGAUCGGGCUAAGAAACGAUGUCCUAAGGGGCAAUUAAAUAAAUGAAUAAAACAAUCAAAUGUUCUGAUACAUGAUGCAACACCUUCACCUCCAAGGUCCACCUUAUGGACUUCAAUAAAAUUGUGAGCUCUCCUCUUCCUCUACUCUUCUCUACUUCUCUUCUUUCUUCAUCAUCUUCUUCUUUUUCUUCUUCUUCUUUUAAAUCAUUGAGGACAAUGCUUCUCCUAAGUGUGGGGGGAGCCUAAUAAAGUGUCUUGAGUCGUAGUGUUUCCAAACUCCCUUGAACUUUAUUCUUUUGUUUUGUUUUAUUGUGAAAGACAUGAUUAAGUAGCUUGUUUUUAUUGAAAAAUAUCAUGACAUAAAUUUUUAUUGUCUCCUCUUAAUUGGUUAUUUCUUGUACAUGAAAGUAAACUCUUGUGUCUUAAGUUUUCUUGACAUACCCACAUCUUGUUUUAAAGUGACUAAAUUCUCCAAUGAGAAAAACACAAGUUGCUUCCCUUGAGUAAGUGUAUGAAUAGGUAUUUUAAGGAAAUGCGUUCUAGUUUUAGUGGUAUGUUGACCUUUAAAAAUCCUCAAAGUAAAAGUAGUAUAAGUUAGUAUAAGGGAGUUUAUAGAAAGCAAAAUAGCCAAAUUGAUUUCAAGGUUGCAUCAUUGAAUCUAGAUUGAGGAAGGAGGUAGGCCCUCCGACUUCCUACGUGAAAGUGAUGUUAUCUUCAUAAACUUUAAAAAGCUUCAUUGAAUUUAGAUUGGGGAAGGGGGUAGGCCCUCCGACUUCCUACGUGAAGAUGAUGUUUUAAGGGGCACCAUUGAAUCUAGAUUGGGGAAGGGGGUAGGCCCUCCGACUUCCUACGUGAAGGUGUUGUUUCCUUAAAUAAAGUAUGUUCAAAUGUGUAAAUGGCAAAGAUCAAAGAAUCGCAAACACUCCCAUCUCUCUUAUAUGAAAUGAAGAAAGAGUUUUUCUUGGUUGGUUUAGUACUAGGAUUAGAACAUGUUUCCUCAUAAUAUAUAUCUUAUACAGGAGCAAGAAAAGGGUUGGACUACAUAUACGCACUCACUUGAAACUUGAUUGUUGGGUUGAAUAAGGUUUACAAGAAAUGCUUGAGUUUGUGAUUAGUGUACGCUGGAAAUUAAAGCCCUUGAGGAGACAUGUGUAUUAAUUAAAUUGUCAUAUGAUAAUAUUGUUUAUGCUACCAUAUUUAUGCCUUUUGCUUGAGGACAAGAAAAGAUUCAAGUAUGGGGGAGUUUGAUGAGUCAUUUAUUAUCUAUUUUAAUAUAUUAUUUAGUUUCAUUUUAAUUAGAUUUAAGUUUAUUUUAUAUUAAUAUUAUUUCUUUUUUGAACUAUUUUACUACAAUUGCAUAUUGUUAUAUUUCAGGAACGAAUAUUUGAUGGAUUGAGUCUUGGAGCAAAAGAAAGGGGUUUUGGAGCUGAUUUGGUACGAAGAUUCGGAGACAAAAAUAUAUCUCUCUCAAGUCAAAAACUUGGCACGGCCCGUGCUAGGCUUGGCACGGCCGUGCCACACUCUAGAACUACUUUUGCUGUUUUUGCUUAGAUUUUAAGCUACUCUGUUUUAGUUUACAUGUGGAACAUUCUAGUGAUUGCUUAGAUUUUAAGUCGAAUGUAAACUAUAAAUAGAGUAGCUAGCCGUCACAAAUAUUCAUCUUUUGUUCUCUGAAAUAUUAAGUGACAAUUGUUUCUUUGAAUAAAAGUUCACCUUUACUUUCUUGUCAUUUACUUUUAUGCUUUCUCUCUUCUUCUCCAUGUCUACAAUGAACGUUGGUGAGUAGACUUCUCUUUGUCUUGGGAUUGUUGGAUAAGUCUAAAUGACAUAAUCCUAAUCAAACCAAGCUUUAAACCUUAAUCUUAUGUAACCCUAAUCUCUAAUCUAAAUUCACCGUUUUAACAUAAAUUAACCAUUAUCAAACUGUGGAAACGAAAGUGGAGGGUUUGAUAAUUGUUAAUCCAUCAUCUCAAAUAUCAAUUCAUAAAACGAAAGUGGAGCUUUGAUAUUCGAACAAGUGAAUUUAGACAAAGAUUGUAAAGGCAGCGAAAUAGUCUUUACAAUCUUUGAGACAUAUAGUUUCGAACUUCAAGGAUUCUAAAUUGUGAUCAAGUCAGCGAAAUAAGCUUCGUUGCAACUUAGGACCAAAAGCUAAUAGUAAUCAAGUCAGCGAAAUAGGCUUGGUUGCUAGAGGAACAAAAGAGAAACUGUCUUUAGAAGUUAGGCCUAACAUAAAGUUAUAAGUUUAAUAGUUUGGUUUGUGAAAGACUUGUCAAUUAGAUGAACCAAUAAUCCCAAUGCACCUCUUUUAUUUUAUUUUCUUUUAAUUAUACAAAAAUACAACCUUCUACUUUCUAUACUUUCAAUCUAACCAUUAUUUAAAAUUAAUUGAAUUUAUAACUCCCUGUCGAAACGACACUCUAUUUUUAUUACUACUUCGGUAAGACCGUGCACUUGCGGUUUUAUCUCAUCAUUUAUAUUAAUAUAUGAUGAUGAUUAUGAUUUGAUUAUUAUGUGCUAAAUGUUGGUGUAUAAAACGUGAUGAAUAAGGAGUUAAUAAUGAAUCGAAAUUGAUUUGAAUUGUUAAUGAAGUGCUAUAUGAUUAUAUUACUAUCUAUGAUUAGUUUAUAAUGUUGUUAAAUAUAAUUGUUGAAUUAUAUGUUUAAUAUUAUUGUUUUGUGAAAUCUCACCCCAUCUGCUUGGAAAUGUUGCUCUUCGUAUGAGUAACUUGCAGGUAUUAAAGAUUAGUAGGAAUGGUCGCUCAAGUGUCUUAGGGCUCUGAUGCGUAACGGGAUGGGAAAUUGUUGCUAUGUUUGAUAGAAUUUUGGCAAGUGUACCAAAUACUAUCGAAGUAGUAAAAAUAUCGUUCCACAAGGACUGGUUUUAAUCUCAAUAAUUCAAUUCCGUUGUAACUUAAGAUGUAUAAAAGUUCUUUUAAUUGGCCGCUAGGCAGUUGAUUGGUUUGUUUGCAUAAGCAAUAACAGAAAAUAAAGAUUGGUUUAAAGAAUAAGAGAGAGAUGAGUUUAGGUCUUUCGAAUCAUCUAUGUUCCCCUAAUUGGUAUACUGCACCUAUUCUUGUGAAAGAGUCACUAGUUUUGCGAUAGUUAACAAUAUAGUCCUAAUCAAUCCCUUGAGUUAGGAACCUCUUCUAGGGUUACAACUCCUAAUUUCUUAGGUGGUCUGCUAACCUUUGAAGGUUUAAGCACGUUAACCUAAUAUCACUAAUAAAGGAUUAUCCAUUCCUAGACUAACCAUGUUUAUUAGAACAAUUCAAUUAGGUCUAAGUCGAAAGCUAUGGUCAGUAGUCAUUCGUUCUCACUAAAUCAUAUUUAUAUUUGAUCAGGAUAUAAAAAGCAUUAAGAACAAUUGAAUUGAAUAAAAACUAGAUUGUCAUUCACAAAUAAUAGAGUUUCACAGCAACAUGAAUCAAUUAGGGUUACAAAGAAUCAUCUCAGACCUAACCUCUAAUGGAUUUAGCUACUCAUAAUGGUGUUUACAAAUAACAUAAUCAUUAGAGGAAUCAAUACAUACAUGAACUGGUAAAAGAGUGAAGAAAUCGCCCUUCUCGCCGUCUUGUAGUCUCAAAAUCGCACUUUGCUCUCUCCAAAUCGUAACCCUUGUUUUCAGAAUAGUCUUCAGCUUAAAUAGGCACAGAAUUUCGCCAAAAAUCGUGUCACGAUUUAAGUUAAUCGUGGCACGAUUCUCUUUGAAUCGCAAAUUACUGAAUUAGGGUUUCCUCCAAUCGUGUCACGAUUCGCCCAUCGUGACACGAUUUCUUCAAUGUCGAAAUUGGAUUUGGUCUUCUCAAAUAGUGGCACGUUUUUUGGAAAUCGUGACAAGAUUUGCUUCUUUGUAUUUUCUACAGAAUUUCUACUUUUCUUGCUACAUAAGUUGCUUUGUGAACUCCAAAAUGUGAUAAAAAGUACAUAAAAAUUACGUAAUGACGAGAUUUCAUCAAUGUUUAUCAUUCCUUUAUGUAUCAAUUUUGGAACAUGUUGUUGAAGCUUUUAUUGUCGUUGAAUUAAUUCCGCUGCAAAGUUCUAAUUAUUACAUUGUUGAAAUUUAAAGGAUAAUUAUUUAGUUAUUCCAUUUAUGAUUUUCAAGAAAAUAAGUGUAACAUUCCGUUUAAGGUGUUUUACUCUGAUUAAUUUAUGAAAUUUUAAUGUUGGGAAAACGGGGUGUUACAGAAAUUACCACCUAAAACGGAUGUCAUUCCACCGAAAUGUCUAAACUCAUUUUGGGGAUCAUUCUCGAGUGCGAGGUUCUUCCACUUGGUAAUAGAAGAGCCGUUAUACCGCUAGAUGCAACAUUCAAUACAAUUAACCCCCCCUUCGAUCUAACAACAGCUGACAAUGUUUUCCAUAUAAAGGUUUUUCCAGUACCAUCGUACCAUAUAAGAAAAAGAAACCACCGUCGUCAGAACAAACGGACUCCAUGAUCUUGUCAUGCACACAUCUUUGUUCAUCCGUCAGCAUCAGUAACAUAUCAGCGUGUGCCUUUUCCAGUUCAUCUUUGUUGUAAUUUAGAUCAUCAACGAUAAGCUUGUUUUUGAAAUUUGGCAUGUCUGCUGCGUUUGGCCUAGGCAUAGAUUUGAAAUCAAUAAGCGACAACCCGUUUUCCUUAAGCAACAUUUCAAUUUCAAUCAGACACAUGUUCUUCAAGUCAUCGUCACCAAUAUGCAGAUCUACAUAUUUAAUGUAAAGUCACGAAAUUAAUAUUAACAUUUUGCAUGCAUAUGUGUGCAUGUUGAAGAGAAAGAAAAAAAUAUUAGCUUUAUAUGAGAAUCCUUUAUAUUUAAACAUAUCAGCUUAAAAAAUGUGGAAAAUGUUGAAUGGUAUCGUAGAGUUAGUAACUCUUAGUUUGUUCUUUACUAUAUCCUAAAAAAAGUACCUCUUAACUACUUAAACUACUCUAAUCAGCCUUUACUAUAUCCUAAAAAAUACACCCCUCGAAAAACAAACUUGUCAUCAAGGUUUGAAUGUACUAAAUUUCUUAAUGUGUAAUAGUCUUCAAAUGUAUCACCCUUAUCCCUAUUUUUUAUUAGUGAAGAACUCUUUUGAUUCUCACUUUAAUUUGAACUUUUUGGGUCCACCAAGAUUCUUUACUCCUAGAUAGGUCCAAAACCUAUUAAUUCUUCUAGUUUCUCAUUUGCUACUUUUCUAAUCUCAUAUGUCAUCUUGUUCCACGUAUCAUUUUCGCUUCUAUGUAGCUUAACAUAACCUUCCUUCAAAUUUUUUUGUAGGAAAACACUUUGGUUUUGAUCCUUUAAAUCUCACCACUUGAUCCUUGUAUCACAAUCAUGGCCUCUCAUCUCCGCUCUUAUCUUAACCCUUACAUCCAUAACCAAUACUAUAUGAGAAAUAAGAAAUAAGAAAUAAUUCCUCUCAUCUCUCCAUGUAAAACUUUAAAUUCAAACAAACAUUUCUGUCAUAAUUCCUAAUAAGAAAUAAAUAUAUUUGAGAACAUGAAAUCCCACUCUUGUAUGUAAUAAAUUUCCUUUUUAUUUUCCUAAAGUAAGAUUAAAAGACAACAAAAAAUUUAGGAUGGAUUUACCCUAUGCAUUUAUGUCCCCGAUGCUAUACCCUCAUUCACGCCUUUAAAACUUAUCAAACACUCCUUACAUUCCCAUUUAGAUCCCCUCCUAGAAAAACAUUUUUUCCUUGUGGUAUAUCUUGAAUUAAACCUUUCAAAUCCUUCCAAAAUUUAACUGUAGAAUAUUCUUCCAAACUUACCUAAGGUGAGUAAACACUCAUAACAUUAAAGAUGUCGUAUUUCCUUUAAAAAAAAAUAAAAAAUAAAGAUGACUUAUUAAACUAAAAAUUUGUGGGAUACAAUCAAAUCUCACAUCCUCUUUACAUCCACAAUAUUCUUUUUCAAUUCCUUAUCCACAAUAAUGCCUACACCAUUUCUCGAUCUAACUUUUCCAGAUUAUCAAUGCUUAAAUCUUGAACUAUCUAGUUCUUUUGCCUUUUCACAUAUCCACAUAGUUUCUUGUUGGGACAUAAAAUUAAUCUUCACUUUAGUCAUAGCCGUAACUAUUUCCAUAUAUGUUCAAGUAAGGGUGCCUUUAUUCCAUGUUCUAAAACGGAUCAUACUCUCAUUAACUAACUUCUUUACCCACACUCGUUCACAAAGAUGUGGAGAGCCUUGUUUAUUUUUUACUGCAUUCAGACAGCGAUGUAUCCAUCCUUGUUCAUCUAACAUUGUAUCUGAGCUAUACAACGCGUUUCUUCUACGCAUUGACCUAGUGUUUACACUAUUAUAUACUUGGUCCAUGUCAUAGAGAUUCAAAGUGUUUCAAUUAAACUCAAAUGUUUAAAUUUUAAUUAGUAGAGUCUAGUCCAAGUCUUGAAAUUUUUAUAAUAUAGAAUGUCAUUUUUUUUUAAAAAAAUUACGUGUAAUUAUUUAUUGAUCCAACUUAAUGAAACUUGAUUGCAUCGGGUAAUAGAUUACAAUGAAAACCGACUCAUCCCGUGAACACUUGUAGGCGUGGAUGCUGAAGCAUGUUUGCUUAAUUUUUUUUUUUUAAAUAGGUAUCAUCAUCCAUAAUUAAUUUUUUUUUUAUACCCAUGACGAUCAUAAACUUAUGUUUGCUUAAAUUUAAUUUUUUUUUAUUGAAUAAUUUUUCUUACAAACGACGAAGGAAUUAAAUGAUUGUAUUUCCUAUGUUAGUGGUCAUUUACUAUUGAUUGAUUUUAUUUCCCUCAUCAAUGGAACUCUCUUCAGUUCAUUAAAAAAUAAUGACAUUUUGAAAGUGUUCAUCCCACUUUUACUUAAAAAACAGUUAUUUUUUAGGACAAAAAACAGGUAUAUUUUUAUUUUAUUUUUCAGAAAAAGGAGAUGGUUUGCAUGGUAUAAUAUGAGUUAGACUACCCGUUGUACUCUCUUUUAUUAUGUAUUAUUUUCCUUAUUAAAACUCAAACAUUUAAAUAUCCAAUUGUCAUUCUUUAUCCUUUGAUAAAAUAUCUUUUUUAAUUCUGAUUUAAUGCACAUUAGGAUUAUAGAAAUCAAUACUUUUCAAAUAAUUUCCAUAUAUGCACCGGAUCCCAUCAGAACUCUGCAGUUAAGCGUGCUUGGGCGAGAGUAGUACUAGGAUGGGUGACCUCCUGGAAAGUCCUUGUGUUGCACCUCUCCCACCAAAGUAACAAAAAAAAAAUACUUUUCAAAUAAUUUAUAUAAUAAAAAAAUCUAUAAUAAAAACAAUAAAAAUUGAAAUUCCUGAAAAUAAAAAACUAUAAUAACCAUUUAUAAGUAUAGUAGAAAUUUCCACAACUAAUUAGUUACCUUAUUUUUAACUUUCAUUUAAAAUUUAAGGUUGACCAUAAUUUUUUUCGGUUAAAUUUUAAAUUAGCAACCACAUAAUAUCAAAUAAGUUAUUUGUCCCAAAUUUUUUAUUUUAUACUCUGAUUGAUUCUCUUGAUUCCGAGAACUUGCUUGGUUUGAUUUUUUUUUUUUUAAUGAUGGUUCAAUGAUCUAUUGUUUACCAAGAAUAGCAGAAACAUGAAUUGAAGAACGGGAUGAGGGUUAAGAUUAAAUAGAAAUAAGAAAAUGAGACAUACAUAUUCAUUAUUGAGUGAUUUAAAGUAUUCCUUGAAUUUGUUUUUUGCGAUUACCUUGAUUGAAGCAUUUCAAAUUUUCUACAAUUUGUUUACUUUUAAUGCAAUUAAUUCUUAAUUCAUGAGUUUUAUUUUUUUAAAUAAAACAUGAUUUUUUAUGAUGGCUUAGAAGCUAUUCAAUGGUUAUCAAAGUAUGUGUUUAUUUUUUUUAAAAAGAAAAUAGGAUUUUUUUAUGCUUAUUUAAAGAUUAUUGACAGUAAAAAAAGAUAAAUAUUAGAAUUAAUGCAUAUAUAUCUUGCACAUUAAUACAUAUACAAUUCUACAAAUGUAAAAUUUAUCUGCCGGAGUGAAAAAGAUAUAGUACAAAUGUCAUUCUUUUAACAUUCACCUCGAAGCAAACCCUUACCUUCAAAGGACAUUAUGUUAAUAAAUUGGUUCGUGAACCCAUCCAUGACCAUGCAUACUUGAUUCACCUCUAAGCAAACCUUGAACCCAUUCUUUUUUUGUUGAGCUUAAAGAUAUAGUACAUUUGAUCAUGUACGAAAAUUUUAAACUAUAAUUUUUUUGUUGGGUGAUGUUUAUAUUUUUAACAUUAUAUUUAUACCAAUAAAGUUCGUAAAAUAUAUUUUAAUUUAUUUAACGUUUUUAUAUAUGCUUAAAAUUAUGUUUGUAUAAAAUUUAUUUAAUAUAUACAAACUUCUCAAAUAAGUUGACUAUCUAGGAAAAAAAAUAGUUUACAUAUCAUUAAUGCAUAAAAAUCAUGUGAUUCUCCUUCCUUUCUCCAAUAAAUGUAUAAGACCUUCCUUUCUCCAAUAAAUGUAUAAGAUAAUAUAUUAAUGAUUUUAAAUUAAUUUAAUCAAAAUAAUAUGAUUUACAUUACCUUUUAAAAUUAAUAAUGGUUUUAUGUGAAUAUUGAAUAAUUAAGUUUACUGAUUGUUAAUACGGAUUGACUGUCAAAAAUUAUCUACAACAAUUAUCUUCUUAUUUUUUUACAAUAAAGCAAUUAUCUGUCAAUGUAUUAUCUUUUUUUUCCCAAAUACGUAAUCAUAAUGUAUCGAAUCAUUAAUAAGAAUGAAUUGUAAUAAUUGUUUUUGUUAAAAAUUGAUUUGUAAAUAUUUGAUAAUGAAUCCUUAUCAAGGACUCAAUCAAUACAUUAUCUUUAUUUAUUUGACAAUAAAUAUUAGUACACCAUCACAAUUAUGACAAAAUAUCAACAAUCUUUUUUUUUUUUUUGGUAGAUAGACGAAAUGGCAAAGCCAUUAUAAACUCACACACACAAGUGGAGGUACCAGGGUUCGAACCCCGGUCAUGGCAUCCGGCCUAACAAUUUCGGCAUUUUGCCAGUUGAGCUAGGACUUCUGAAUAAAUAUCAACAAUCUUUAAUAUAUAGUACUAUUUUUUUUUGAAGUAUAGUAGUAUUUUUUAUUACUAUUUAUUAAAAAAAUUAAUAUUAUGAACAUCUAUCAGUACAUCUUUUUUUUAGAGAGAGAGAGUUGUAGAAGCCUUGCAUCUCAAUAAAAAUCUUAUUUUUUCUCAAAUGAAAGUAGUUAAUAAGAUUUACAUAUUAAGCAAAAUAUUAAGCAAAAUAUCUCCCAUCAAAGAUGCCCUUAGAGACUUAAAAAAUUGGAAUUCUUUUAAUAUAUAGAAUUUUUACGCAUUAAAAUAUAUUGAUUUUAUAAUAAGUAUUAUUCUAUAAUACUUUAGUAUUUAAUUUAGUCAUGAAAAAACAGACUAUGAUUAUAAAAAAAAAUCAUAAUAUGAUAAUGAGGAAAAUAUUUCAUUUGCAAGUGAAGUAAGAUUGAUAAAAACACAUUUCUUAUUAUUUUUUUGAAUAAAUACAUCUCUUAUUAUUUUGAAUCACAAAUAAUUAACAUCCGACAUAAAGAUCAAAAAACUUGGUUGAAAAAGUAUGUGGAAACGUCUUUGUUUUUAAUAUUUAAUUGCAAGUGCAAACUUCUGAAAGCUAAAAUUUUGACACAUUUCUUAUUACUUUUUUGAAUAAACACAUUUCUUAUUAUUUUGAAUCACAAAAUAAUUAACAUCCGGCAUAUUUUAAAACAUUCUAAAGAUAAAGAUCAAAAAACUCGGUUGAAAAAGUAUGUGGAAACGUCUUUGUUUUCAAUAUUUAACUGCAUGAGCAAACUCUCUAAAGCUACAUAGUUUGAUAAAUUAUUUUCAAUAUUUGGAUGAUUUCAUAUGAAAUCUUUCAUGUUUACCCCUACCAGGCUAUCACCACUAAGAAAAACCACAAAAUACAACUAAUAUUCGUAGUAUUAGCCAAGUCGGAUAUAAACAUGACAACAAAGCUCUUGUCAUUAACUUCUCAAUAAAUAGAAUACAAUGAUGGAUAAUGAAACAUUGCAUAGAUCCAAUCUUUAUCUUCUUCCGAUGUUCUUUCCGGUAGAAUGAAUAGAGAAAAAACAUGAGAAUUCAAUUGUUUCCCUUUGAUUUCAUACACCAUUGAAAAAAAAUCAAACAAAUGAGAAACUAAAUGAAAAGAAAAUUUGAAAUAAUAAAGAAUUGUAUUACAAAUCAAAAUAGUUAUAAUUUGUACAAAUCAAUACAUAAAAAAAUAAGAACUGAAUUUUUUUAGAAUCAUAAACGAUGGAAAACCCCAACCAUCAUAAUAUCAUAUGUUUCUUUAGAAAGAAAAGUUUUGCGUUAUAGAAAAUAGAUAAAAAUAAACAUAAAUAAAAAAGAAGAAAUAACAAAGAACAUGAAUGUAAAGCAAAAUUAACGUUUGAAGCAUUAUGAUCUGCAGUGUUUAUCCGAAUGAUUUAUUUAUAUAGACAUUUUUGCAAGGAUACGUUAGUAUUUUGCCGUAUCAUGUACACAUUCAAAAUUACGUCAUCAAUAGUAUUAUCACGGCAAAUCUUUAUUUAAUUAUUAUAAAAAUAAACCCAUUUAUCAGUGUUAAUGUAUUUAAAUGUAUGUGAAUGCAACCAAAUAAAUUUGAAACAAUUUUCACGAUAAAUGUGUUUGGGCCAUUUUAAUAAAGACCAUUAUUAAUUUUUUUUGUUGUUGGGGUGGCAGGGGUUAAACUCCAGUCCUUGCAUAUAUUUAUGCAUUGUCCCUAUAAACUGAGUUAAGCUCACGUAGACAAAGACCAUUAUUAAUUGAUUUGAUAUUCAUCAUUCUAAACUAAAAUUUAAAUUCCAUAUAGCAAUUUAAAUGAUGAUAAAUAUGAUUAAAUUUAAAGGCAUGUGUUAAACUACAUUUUAAUGUAUUUUAAUAUACAUUUUUUCAAUAAUGUAUUUUAAAAUACAUGAUUGUUCAUAAUGACAUAAAUGAUAUGGGUUGAUUUAACUAAUUUAAAAAAAAAAUAUGUGCGGCUGUCCAUACUUAAAAAUAAACAUAUCUAAACUGUUUCUUUUACCGAUACUUAAAUAUGAAUUUGUAAAGAAAAAAAAAAUAUUUGUUUUUGGAAAAAAAAAGUUAUUUAAUAAUUUUAGUUUUAUUUUGAAUUUUGAGUUUUUAACUGGGAUAUUUUGAAAAUCGUAUGUAUUUUUUAUUAUAACUUUUAACUCGGUUCAAACAAAAUAGAGGUAUAUGUUUCUUUAUUUUUUUAUUAUAUUUUCUAACUCGGUUUUUAAAAAAUAAAUAAACAUAGGUCAUGUAAAAAAAACGAUAUCAUGUUAAAAUUAUUUCAAUGCAUAAUUCUUUGACCAAAUCAUAUCAAUAAUAUUUUUAAUCAAUAUGAAAUAUAUAUUGCCAUUUUUGGUUCAUGUCAUAUUAAUAAUAGUAUUAUUUUUGGAAAAACAAUGCAUCAAUUUAGAAUAUUUCAUAAAAAAAUAAACAUAAGAUAAUUGCAAUAAAUAUCAAAUGCAUAAGAAUGCUUGGUUUAGUUUAUGGUGUCACGUGUCAUAACCAUACUUUGAUGGGUUCGUUAGCAUUUUAAUUUAUGAUGUCACAUGUCAUAACCAAAAGAAGAGAAAAUAACUUCCAUAAUGGAAUAUGAAAUAGGUCCUAAAUUUAUAUUAUAUAGAAUAUAGAUAUAGAUUUACCUCCCUUCAAAUACAUUUACAUGUAUAUUGUGAUUUUAUCUUCAAUAUUAUUCUUUUUUGCAAAAUUACAUUAGAGACCUUUUAUCUUAUUUAUUUGUAACACUUAAGUCAUUUAUCUUAUUUUUCUAACAUUUAAAUCAUUUAUCUUUUAAAGAGUAUACAAGUUUAUCAGUUUUAUAUAUUUUUUAUUAAAAAAAGAUGAGUUGGCUAGCCACGUAAGAUUAUUAAUAAUAAUUUUAUUCUUAAAUAAUUUAUUAUACUAAAAAACUCCAAAAAGGCAACUUUCAUAAUUUUCUUCAUCGACUUUCACCACACUGAUCACAAAACCUUCCCGAUUUCAAUGGAUCAUUGUGCAUAAUUGAAACCUCACAUGGCAAGCAAGAAAUAGUGGAAAAAAAUUGAAAGGAAAAUUUGUUAUUUUUCGAAAGAUCAAGCUUUCAGCUUUACUGAAAAACCAAAUCCAAUCUCCAGAGAGCAUGCUCAUAAAGGAAAAACAUUCAUUCCUCACACAUUCAUUCCCUAAUCCCAAACCAACCCGGAUUCAAUUAUUAAAAAAUCUCCACAUUUUGAAUAGAAAAAAUUAGGCUUAAAUAGGUCUUUAGUCCCUACAAAUACAAGUCAUUUGAAUUUUCGUCUAUAAAGUUACUAAUCCUUCCAAAUUGCCACUGCAAAUAUUAAUCUUUUAAAUUUAGUCCUAAUCAUUUUUUUUUUGUGAGGUGGAGGGGGAUUAGCUAGGUGGUAGUGACGUCACACCAACUGACUGGGUAAAAGACUUGAUAACUCAGCAAAAGCCACCUAAAAUGACCAUUUUACCCUUAAUGACUUCAAAUCCAUGUGAAAAGACAAAAAUAUCCCUUUCUUCCUCCUUCUUCAUCCCUCUCCAAAAUCCAAUCCACCCUCUUCUUCAACAAUUCAUUCCUCUCCUUCAAACAACUCAAAUGGCGUAGCAAACAUAUUCCUUCGAACCAAACACAAAUUCACUCAUUCAAACACAUCACAAGAAUCCAAUCACAAAAAACGACGCAAAAUCAAUAACCUCACCCUCAUCGCGGUUCAAAAUCAUGGCGAUUCAGCUUCGACAACGUCUUAGGUAAAUCUUCAAGAACUCGUCCUUUGACCAUUUCACUUCCGUUUUCGAUUUUGAAGAAGUCGUUGAAACCAACACCGACGGUGUAACCAUUUGUAGCUGGAAAUUGAAAAAGGGCUCCAAAAAGACCAAGAUCGAGUUUAGUUUCUUCACGAAUCAAAGAACGUGAAGAUGUCGAUAACUGCAACCUUAUUUAUUUCACCCAUUGUUGAUGGCUAUUCCAUCUUCUUUGGCGCUCUCAAACAAUAUGAAGAAAUAAAGCCUCCACUGGACAAAUUUUGUUAUUAGAAUCUCAAAAGUUUAAUUGAGGAGUAAAUUGUUGCGAUCUUUUGUUUAAUUUAAUUCCAAGAAGGGUCAAUGAAAUUGAGGGAUUCCGUUUUGCUUAAUUUAAUUGAGGAAGGUGAAGUAGCAAUAAACGUCGCAAGAAAGGGGGAGUUUGAAUUGUGACCCUUUUUAAUUUUAAUCUUGAAACUUUAAAUGAGUUUAUAUACUCAAGAAUAAAGUUCUUGGUAAUGGUUAGAUAAACAAUUUAUAAUACACAAUUAUUUUUUCAGAUUUAAAUAGAUUUAGAUUAAAUGUAUUUAUUAUGAUUUAAACUAUUUAAAUAAGCACAAAUGUGCUAAUUUCCUUUCCCAAACUCACACUUUUAUCUCCCUCGCCCACUUGCUCCCUCAUCACAGAUGUGCUAAUUUCCUUUCCCACACCCACAUGAUCUCCCUCAUCCUUCUCAUCUUCCACACGGUCAACUGAACGAUCAAAACGAGCUAACCUAGCAUUGACCCGAAAAUUACCAAACCAAACAGCAUUAACCGCUUUCAAAAGUUUACCGACAUCUCUUACUUGAGAAAAUUUAACAAAACCAUAAUAUUCCCCACGUAAGUUACGCCUACUAGGAACCACAACAUCCUCAUGAAUGCCACAGACUUCAAAACCUUUCCUCAGAUAAAAAUUGGACAAUUGCGGCGGAAAAUUUGUAAAAUAGAAAGUAGCAAACCGUUUUAAUGAGGUAGCUGCAAUGUCUUCCUCCCUGCCAGAACUGAUCACAGUCUGCUGCCCACAAUAAUCCUUGCGGUUGAAAGCAUCACUCUGGUGCGGUUUCCAGAAUGUAGAACGUCCUCGUAAAAUGGUUGCACCACCGCGAUACCCAAAAGAAACCCUAGAUGAACCCCUGCCAUCAGCUGUCUUCCACAAACCAGGAUUAACCCUAAACCUAGACUGUCGAAUUCCAUUGCCAGAAAAACCUCCACGCUGCUUCCUCUCCUGCUGUCCGUCAUGACCAAGGUCAACCUGUCGUCGCGCUUUCCGACGUCGCAGUCUCACAACCUGUCAAUCAUCCCCAUCCCUCCCCGUUUGUGGCACCCCGCCAGGACCCCUUACCCCCCGUAGAAUCUCACCUCUGGCGAACGGUACCGGUACGAUGACCCUUGGCGCAGCUAAAGAGCAUCGCGUCUCUCACUCACUCUCUCGUCUCUCAUCUCGUCUCAUAUCACAUCACAUAAUUAGAUAUGCAUAGUCAACAUGCCAGUGCCACUCAGCUCGCCACGUCAACAAUUCUGCACAGUCACAUGGGUCAGGGGCUAAAAUCAAAUAAUCUUAUUUUACAGGGUUGGAAUCUAAAUAUUUUUUUUAUAGCGGGUAAACCGAAACUCGUCUAAAUUACAGGGGGUAAAGAUAUAUUAACCCUUAAAAGAAUCACAUAUUUGUCAUACCCCAAUUUUUGACCUAAGAUCCCAUUUCAUUUGUCUUUUGGCCUAGAAUUUUUUGCCUUUUUAGGAAAAAUUUCGGUAGAGACAUAUUUUAAAUACCUCAUUUUUUGUUCAUUUUUUUUACCACUCUUUGUAGUCAUUUUAUUCUAGUCCUUUUCGUUAUUAUUAUUAUCAUUAUUUUAUUAUGUUGUUUGUUUUUAUUUUUAUUAAAAAAGGCAUAAAAUAAAAUUUCAUCAAGAAUAGUCUACUAGAACGUUCUCCAGAACGUUCUGGUCGUACUACGAGUGAGAUAAAGUGACCUCAUUAUGUCCCAUCAAAUAUGCCCCUAGAUUACAGCUGCAGAACACCACACAUUUUGCUUCAAAAGUGCAUGGAACUAAAAGAAUGUUCUUGAGAACAUUCUGGUGAAAAUUCAAAGGGAUAAGAAUGACAUCAUCAUGUUCCCUCAUGUUGCCACCAGAUCACAACUGUUUUUUCAUCACGUGUGGUUGUCUCAAAAAGGAAAGGAACAACAAGAAUGUUCUUAAGAACAUUCUCCAUGUCGAAAAUUUUGCAACUUGGACACUCUUUCUCUCAAAGCAACAAAGGACAACACUUGUAGCUUCCAAAGAAGUGCCAAACAGCUGUAAAAAACAAGUGGCCUCCAAACUUCUACAGCUUGCAUUCACGUGUCCACCUUUUCUCUUUGCAAGUUGGAAAUUCCAGAACGUUCUGUCUGAACAAAGUUCACUUUUUUUCUCAUUCUUGCGCACCAAGCAACAAAAACAUAAGCACAUGGGCUGUUUUUUAGCAAGGAAAACACAGCUGUUUUUGUCUGUGAAGCUCCAAGUCUUUCACCUCUAUAAAUACAAGCAUACCUCAAUGGUAUAAGAGAGGCUUACACACAAAAGAAUUGAAUCUCUCUCAAAGUGAAGGUGCUCACUACUUUCAAACAAAGCUUUUUUUCUUCUUUCUUUCUUUUUUUUUCUUUCUUUUCUUUCUCAUCACCAUCAACAAACAAACAAACAAACAAAAAACAACACACCCUCAUUACCAAAACAAACAAAAAUCAAACAAAACAACCUUUCUUUUUCUUCCUUUUACUCUCCCAAAAAGGUAUAUCAUCUCCCCUUUCUUUUCUUUCCUCCUUUUUCUUUUCCUUCUCACCUUUUCCUUUCGUUCUUCCUCUUUCUCUCUCCAUAUAUAUAUAUAUAUAUUUUAAUUUAUUUUACACUAAAAUACACACCUCAAUCCAGAGUGCUCUGGUCCUAUAUUAACUGUUAAUAUUAUAUUUUUGUUUAAUUUAAUUAUCCUCCAGAACAAUCUGGUCCUUGUUAAUUAAAUUAAUCCAGAGUGCUCUGGUCCUAACUUAACUGUUAAUAUUAUAUUUUUUGUUUAAUUUAAUUAUUCUCCAGAACAAUCUGGUCCUUGUUAAUUAAAUUAAUCCAGAGUGCUUUGGUCCUAAAUUAGCUGUUAAUAUUAUAUUUUUUUAAUUUAAUUAUUCUCCAGAACAAUCUGGUCCUUGUUAAUUAAAUUAAUCCAGAGUGCUCUGGUCCUAUAUUAACUGUUAAUAUUAUAUUUUUGUUUAAUUUAAUUAUCCUCCAGAACAAUCUGGUCCUUGUUAAUUAAAUUAAUCCAGAGUGUUCUAGUCCUAGGUUAAUUGUUAAUAUUAUAUUUCUCCAGAAUGUUCUGGUCCUGCAUAUAUUAAAUACUAUUUAUAUUGUUGAACUAACAAUCUUUCCUUCACACUCACACACUUUUAUUUUUUAUUGCUCUAUUAGUUUAAUUUUCAGUUAUUAUUUAAAAACAACAAAAACAUUCAAAUAUCAAAAAUUCAUAAAAAGAACUUUUCACAAUAAACCUUGAUCUUAAAUCAAGUGACCGUCUUUUUAUUUUAUUUUUCUUAAUCAAAUCUCAAAUCAAUUUUAAUUCUACUUCAAGUCUAUUUCCUUCAAUCUAAAAAACACAUAUCAAUUCUCAUUUGCCACUUGGCUUUUUAUUUCAAACCUUUUUUUUCAAAAACUAAUAAAAAAUACAAAACCAAUCAAACGUCAAUUUCUACACCGAACUACGAGGUUUUGAUCCCUCACGGGUACGUAGGCAGAGGACUUUGUCCUUCCAAAUCAACUAAAAAACAAUUUUCUUUUUUUCUCUUCAAUUAAAAUCAAUUUUCUUUUCCUUAUCAACUCAUCAGUCAAUUCCAUUUUCAUCUCUUUAAAAGCAAGUAAGUUGAAGCACAAAAAGUUAAAUAAAAUCAAGAGGUUCUCGUAGAGUACUACGAAUAUUUAGGGUGCUAACACCUUCCCUAAAUAUAACCAACCCCCGAACCCUAAAUCUCUUCAAAAUGGGUUGUUUGGAACUUUUUCCCCUUUAAAAAAAAAUUUGUUCAGUCGUGAGAUAAAAAGUGAGUCAAACGCCAAUCAAAUGGCCUUGACCUCCGAAAAAUGGCGCGACAAUAUUCAUAUAGAUAAUCAUUGAAAACAAAUAAUUUAGCAUAUUCAUCUUCCUAAAGCAAACUUUGAUUCAUAUCCUCAUUGUCCAAACUUUGAUUCAUUUAUGUUCUCUUAUCUGGAAAAUGGCUGAUGUUUUACUUGGAACUGUGAUUCAAAACCUCGGGUCGUUUGUUCGAGAGGAGCUUUCGACCUUUUUGGGUGUUGAAGAAUUGACACAAAAGCUAUGUGGAAAUCUCACCGCAAUUCAGGCUGUCCUCCAAGAUGCUGAAGAGAAGCAAAUAACGAGCCGUGUUGUGAAAGAUUGGCUGCAGAAGCUGACUGAUGUUGCUUAUGUUCUUGAUGAUAUAUUGGAUGAUUGUACAAUAAAAUCAAAAGCACAUGGAGACAACAAGUGGAUCACCAGUUUCCAUCCUAAGAUGAUUUUGGCUCGUAGGGAUAUUGGAAAGAGGAUGAAGGAGGUUGCUAAAAAGAUUGAUGUUAUUGCUGAAGAAAGGAUCAAAUUAGGAUUACAAGUGGUAGUCAUGGAGGAUCGCCAACGAGGAGUUGAUGAAAAUCGCCAAACUACUUCUGUCGUCACUGAACCAAAAGUUUAUGGAAGAGAUCGUGAUAGAGAGAAAGUUUUUGAGUUUCUGCUAAGUCAUGCUCUUGACAGUGAAGAACUCUCUUUCUAUUCCAUUGUUGGUGUUGGUGGGCAAGGAAAAACAACACUUGCUUGAAAUGGUGUGGAAACAUGUUACUGAGAUCGUGUUUUACCUUUUGUGAGGUUUUUCCUAAGGAUUUUGAAAUGGUGAAGGAAGAACUGAUCCAUCUUUGGUUGACUAAUGGAUUCAUCUCUUCCAUUGGAAAUUUAGAGGUGGAGCAUGUUGGUCAUGAAGUGUGGAAUGAAUUAUAUGAGAGAUCAUUUUUUCAAGAAGUCAAAAUUGAUAAUGUUGAUAUUGACUUCAAAUUACUAAUUCUGUAAAAGCCAAAAUCGUGGAAUGUUUUUGCCGAAGGCAAAUCGCGUUCAUAUGUUAAUUGAAAGGUAAUUGAAGCAUGAAAUUAAAUUGGCCUUUCACUUUUUCCUAGGGUUAUGAAGUGCCGAAGUUCCAUUAGGUUAGCCCAUCCAUGAGUCUUGUUAAAUAAAAACUUGAUAAAAAAAACUCUAUAUACAAAAUAAGAAAGGCAAAUUCUAUGGUACAUCCAAUAAAUUUGGGUGUAUCGGUACACCAAGUCAUAAAAUUAAUAAUAAAUGAGUUGUUUUUUUUGAUGAAAAAUAAUUAUUUUCUAUCAUUGACAACUAAGAUAAUUAAAUUUUAUAUAUCAAAAGCUUCGACGAAAUAAAAAUUAAUUUUUAAGAAUUUUUAUUACUCAUAACAAUGAAUAUUGAUUAUUUUUUAUGACAAAAUGUAAAUUUUGUAAUAUGAUCCUUAUAAACAAUGAAAUGAUGGUUUUUCUUAUGAAAUGAUGUUUUCUAAAAUAUAAAUAUUGACAAAUACCUUUUUAUUUCAUUAAAGUGAUCUUUAAUUUAUAUAUUUUUUGAAAAAAGAGUACCGGUACACUCAAAAUUGUGAGUGUACCAUAGAAGUUCCCAAUAAGAAAAUAUUCCUUAAAAAAAAAAAAUAUUAACAAAUAUCAUUACGAAAAUGGUUUUACCAUCUAAACGUGUUUAACUGCGCAUUUUGUUGUCGAUUUGUGUUUUCACUUAUAUGUAAUUUUUAUAUAUAUACUUCCCUUCCAAAAAUUAUUCACAUGAAGAAGAAAACAAAAGAAGCAGCACUACAAAUACAGCAAAGACUUUGGAAUGCUGUCAAGUAAACAUGAUUUGCGUGUAAGGUCGUGAUCCACCAUGAAGACAAUGACAAUUUCAAAAAAGCAGAUUUACAAACUUUAUUAAAGUAUCUUUCUAAAUAAAUGUAUUAAACUUACAAACCAUAAGGAGAAAAAGGAAAGAAAGUGAAGAUAACGCUAAAGACUUUGAGAGUCUUUCAUAAAAAACAAAAUAAGGUGACUUGGAAAUUUCUUAGUCUUUUUUCUUAAUAAUCCUUUUUCUUUUUUUAUUAUGUUCAAGACAAAUGCUAAUUAUUAAUUAUCUUUUGACAAGAUGUUAGUAAUUAUUGUUAAAUUUAUAAUAAACCGUAGUCAAGAACCAUUUCUAAGAAAACGAAGAGAGUAAAGAUAACAUAGAAUUGUUUUGUGCGUGUCAUCUUUGCGCAAGGGGCCAUGCUAAUCUUGUCUGUAUCAUUUCAACUUUAUCAGAUGUCCCCAAUGGGACAAGAUAAUGAAAUCAUACACUUGAAAGUGAACAAUUUUACUACUCACAGAGCAAAUGAACGGACAUGAUGAAAAGAUUCCCAACUUUGUUUUUUCCUCACAACUUGUAACACUAUAGUACUAAUAUUCAUUGUUAAUAUCCACUACACAACUUGUUCUAAUCCUCACUCUCAUGUACAAUAAUUAUUGUUUUUUUAGAGGAGCCAGGUUUGAAAAGUAACACGAGAACCUUUCAAAGAUAAUAGUUAAAAACAAAUAAUUUAGUAUAUUCAUCAUCUUCCUAAAGCAAACUUUGAUUCAUAUCCUCACUGUCCAAACUUUGAUUCAUUUCUGUUCUCGUACCUGCAAAAUGGCUGAUGUUUUACUUGGAACUGUGAUUCAAAACCUCGGAUCUUUUGUUCGAGAGGAGCUUUCGACCUUUUUGGGUGUUGAAGAAUUGACACAAAAGCUAUGUGGAAAUCUCACCGCAAUUCGUGCUGUCCUCCAAGAUGCUGAAGAGAAGCAACUAACAAGCCGUGUUGUGAAAGAUUGGCUGCAGAAGCUGACUGAUGUUGCCUAUGUUCUUGAUGAUAUAUUGGAUGAUUGUACAAUAACAUCAAAAGCACAUGGAGACAACAAGUGGAUCACCCGUUUCCAUCCUAAGAAGAUUUUGGCUCGUCGGGAUAUUGGAAAGAGGAUGAAGGAGGUUGCUAAAAAGAUUGAUGUUAUUGCUGAAGAAAGGAUCAAGUUUGGAUUACAAGCGGUAGUCAUGGAGGAUCGCCAACGAGGAGAUGAUAAAUGGCGCCAAACUUUUUCUGUCAUCACUGAACCGAAAGUAUAUGGAAGAGAUCGUGACAGAGAGCAAGUUGUUGAGUUUCUUCUAAGUCAUGCUGUCGAUAGUGAAGAACUCUCUGUCUAUUCCAUUGUUGGUGUUGGUGGGCAAGGAAAAACAACACUUGCUCAAGUGGUCUUCAAUGAUGAAAGGGUAGAUACACACUUUAACUUGAAAAUAUGGGUGUGUGUUUCUGAGGAUUUUAGUAUGAUGAAAGUUUUGCAGUCCAUCAUAGAAUCCACCGAUGGAAAAAAUCCAGAUCUCUCGUCUUUAGAAUCAAUGCAAAAGAAGGUUAAAAAUAUUUUGCAAAACAAAAGGUAUCUACUUGUUCUUGAUGAUGUGUGGAAUGAAGACCAAGAGAAAUGGAAUCAGUUCAAGUAUUUUCUGCAACGUGGAAAUGGCACGAAAGGUGCAUCAGUUUUGGUCACAACCAGACUUGACAUUGUUGCAUCAAUCAUGGGAACUUAUCCUGCUCAUCAUUUGUUAGGCUUAUCUGAUGAUGCCAUCUGGUAUUUGUUUAAACAAAAAGCUUUUGAAACAAAUAGAGAAGAGCGUGCAGAGCUUGUGGCAAUAGGCAAGGAGUUAGUGAGAAAAUGUGUGGGUUCUCCUCUUGCCGCAAAAGUACUAGGAAGCCUUUUGCGCUUUAAAACUGAGGAACAUCAAUGGCUUUCUGUAAAGGAAAGUAAGUUUUGGAGCUUAUCCGAGGACAAUCCUAUCAUGUCUGUAUUGAGACUCAGCUACUUUAAUUUGAAAUUAUCACUGAGGCUGUGUUUUACUUUUUGUGCGGUUUUUCCUAAGGAUUUUGAAAUGGUGAAGGAAGAACUGAUCCAUCUUUGGUUGGCUAAUGGAUUCAUCUCUUCCGUUGGAAAUUUAGAGGUGGAGCAUGUUGGUCAAGAAGUGUGGAAUGAAUUAUAUGCGAGAUCAUUUUUUCAAGAAGUCAAAACUGAUAAAAAGGGUGAGGUUACAUUCAAAAUGCAUGAUUUAAUUCAUGAUUUAGCUCAGUCCAUUACAGGAGAAGAAUGUAUGGCUUUUGAUGAUAAAAGCUUGACUAAUUUGUCUGGUAGAGUUCACCAUAUAAGUUUUUCCUUUAUUAAUUUGUAUAAACCAUUCAACUACAACACCAUCCCUUUUAAGAAAGUUGAAUCUUUGCGAACUUUUCUUGAGUUUUAUGUGAAGCUUGGAGAGUCAGCUCCAUUGCCAUCAAUACCUCCUCUUAGAGCAUUACGUACAAGGUCUUCGCAACUUUCGACACUAAAGAGUUUAACACAUCUGAGGUACUUGGAAAUUUGUAAAAGUUGGAUCAAGACCUUGCCUGAGUCUGUUUGUAGGUUGCAGAAUUUGCAAAUUCUAAAACUUGUUGGUUGUCCACUUCUUUCUAGUCUUCCCAAAAAAUUGACACAGCUUCAAGAUCUCAGGCAUCUUGUGAUUAAAUAUUGCAAUUCAUUAGAUUCAAUGCCUUCCAAUAUCAGUAAGUUAACUUGUCUCAAAACUUUGAGCACUUUCAUUGUGGAAUCGAAGGCGGGGUUUGGUUUAGCACAGUUACAUGACCUACAACUAGGAGGCAAGCUACACAUCAGAGGCCUUGAGAAUGUAUCUAGUGAAUGGGAUGCUAAAGAAGCUAAUUUGAUUGGUAAAAAGGAGUUAAAUCGCUUGUACCUGUCAUGGGGUAGUCACGCUAAUUCGCAAGGUAUUGAUACUGAUGUUGAGCGAGUACUUGAAGCCCUUGAGCCUCACACUGGUCUCAAGGGUUUUGGGAUUGAGGGUUAUGUGGGAAUACAUUUACCACAUUGGAUGAGAAAUGCAUCUAUUUUGGAAGGCUUGGUCGAUAUUACAUUCUACAACUGUAACAACUGUCAGCGGCUUCCUCCACUUGGUAAAUUACCUUGUUUAACCACUCUUUAUGUAUGUGGAAUCAGAGAUUUAAAGUACAUUGAUGAUGACAUAUAUGAAUCUACAUCCAAGAGGGCUUUCAUUUCAUUGAAGAAUUUAACUCUGUGUGGUUUACCAAACUUAGAGAGGAUGUUGAAAGCU